rnacentral:lncRNA from 1 species
UUGGAAGAAGAAUGACUCCGUGAAGCAGACGAACCGAUGUAGUCGAUGGGUCCUCACAAUCCGGCACGCUGCGGAACUCUAACGAGGCGAAGCAAACCGGAAACACAAAUCAACACACAUAAUUCACCAUACGAUGCAACAACACAAAUGAUGCAUGAGCAGCUGAAUACAUGCAAGACACGGCAUGACAAUUCACACAAUCAAACACUACACAUUAAGCGAAGUUCAAUAUGCAACGAGUUGCAUACGAAACUCCACAUUUGAUUGUUUAGUUCACUCCCGAUUAGAUACACGGCAAUAUUAAAUGUGGUUAAACAUGACAAGAGGUGAAGCGGUGAUUCUACGUGUCAUCCUAGACGGUUAACACGUGGAACAAAGAACGGAGCUACAUUCAAGAGACAUGCACAACAGGAAGCACUAAAUAAAUGAUGCAUGGAUGCACAAUCCCUAACUGUGCUCUUACUCCAACCUACAAGGUAACCAAGUGUCACCUCAUCACAAAGUGACACUUCUGCGGAACUAAUCAGAAUUGGAAAACUAGUGUCUCCAUUGGAUUCCUUGGGUUCUCCUACCCCAAAUCCAUAUAUAACACUGCUAUAAAGGCGUGCGGAAAAACACCAGAAACAACAAAGGAAAAACUACACAGGAUCAAACUACGCUAAUAACAAGAACAGGGGUUGUUCUUGAUAUGCCGGAUUUGGCAUAUUCCUCUUCUGGAAUAUCCCAGAUUUGGAAAUACAUCACAAAACUAAACAAAACAAAAAAACAUAUAAACAUCAGGGGGGUCCCACUGGUCAUACUCACCAGGGCCCCUAAUUGGUGUAUGCAAGUAGGCCAAACCCCCACAAUACACACACACCCCAACUACUGCACCACACACCUAAAAGAAGAAAAAAAAAAUGGAGUGCAGGGGGAUUUGAACCCUGAACCUAGGGUACCCUAUGAAAAACUCCAAACCACUAAGCUACUGCAAUGCAGCUAACCCCAGAUGAGGACUUAAAAUAGAUAAACUAACUCUACUGCUACUGCAACACGGGAAAAACGGGAUAAACAAAAGGGGGCGCCGGCAGGUUUUGAUCCCUGGACCUCACAGUUGCUACCGAGUGCGCUAACCAGCUGGGCUAGGUGGAUGUCUUGUGGAAAAAGAGACUCCUAUGCUACAUGAACAAGCACCACACCGAACCUGAACCAAAAAAUCAAACAAACAGCAAAAUAAGCAGGGUUGUCUGGGAUUCGAACCCCAGACCCCUGGGAUGAAACAGAGUGGUGCUAGCCAGCUCGGCUGCUGGCGUGAUCAUGAUAUUAGUGACAUGGAAAUCCUAGUAAGGCCGACAAUUAGAAUGCAUCUGGGCAAAACGAAGCACAGUUCAGAACAGGGCGUUCUUACAGCAGACACACGAAACCGGCGGGGAUACAUGCUACCAUCAGUGCUUGGGCUUCGGCGCUGAAGGUACCAGCAAGGCGGAGGCUUGGGGAUGGGCGUUGGGUCACGGAUCCGUCCGCAGGGACCCGAUUCCACGCGACGGCGAGCUAGACUCGGGCCCAGGGGUUCCCAUGGCUGCUGCUCCUGGUUCAGAUAAGUUCAGAGAAAAACAUAUAAGAGAGAGAGAGAGCGGGAAUCAACAUGAGGAGGAAGGAGAGCAGGAAGGAGAGGGGAACGGGAGAGGUUCUGGCCUGGAGCGGCUUCUGGUGGUGGGGUCACCGAUUCCGACCUCCGGCGAGGGCACGAGGCGGCGGGGCUGUGGGGCUCAUGCAUGAAUGUUCAGAACGACGCACAUGAGGGAGCUCGAGGUGGGCUCGCUUGCUGCAGAAGGAGACAUCCCUGCGCGCUACACCGGUGCAGAGCAGCGGGCUCGCGCGGGCGGACGCGACCAGACGCGCAGGGGAAGGGGGAGCUCUUAGCGCAGCUGGUUCCCUGGAGAGAGAGGGAUUAGGGAGAGAAGAAAGGAAUAAAACAGAGGAAGGAGAAGACCGGGCAUGGCAUGGACCUGCGGUGCGGCUUCCAUGGGCGUCGGAUGCUGCUGCUCCUGCUCCAUGCUUGAGACGGCACUGCAGCUGGAGGAGCUCCUCGUACGUGGGGUUGGGGGUCGAUUUCGAACCGACCGUGGCGAGCACGAAGGAGGCCGGGGGCGCUCAGACAGAGCUCGCCGGAUGUGGCGAAAGCGGGGGCUCCAGCAUCGUGGAUCGAGCGAGGCUCGAGCGCAUGGGUGCUGCCGGGCACGGGGCAUGGCUCCGAUGGCUGGCUGCAUCUGGGGAUCCCGAGGUAGAAGACAACAGGUGGCGGCGCUGAUGCGAGAUGGAGGGGAUUGGCUCGGUGGGGAAACUGAGAGAGGAGGAGACCAAGUGUUGUGUGGCGGCGGCGGAUGGGACACGGGAAUUUGUCCCUAAAUUUUAGGGUUGGCAUGGUUGAUNUAUAUAAACUAGCUCAGGACCCUUUGAUUUAAUUAGACGGUCGGAAAUAGGCAGGUUAGGGAGUCCAGUGGACAAAUCGAUGAAGAUUUGCGGUAAAACGGGGUUGAUCCGGACCCAACGGUUACGACUGUGUGUUUCGGGCACCGGGAGGUUUCGGACUGGGCUGCGCGUAGGGGUGGUGCACUGCGCAGAGGCACUAGGCGGAGAUGACAGAGAAAAACGGGCAACCCGGUGACAGAGUUUAAAAUACCAAAACGUCCGACAAUCGACCGGCUAUAGUGCCGCUAUAUAAUAAACGACACGGGUGACAAACGGGCUCUGACCGCGAUGAAAUUUGACGGACGGCCUACCUACACUAAAUUAAUACCGCACGACAAAUUCCAACCGGAUCAGAGGAAGUUUAACGCACACUUUAAAAACAGGGUUUCGACGGUGCCGCGCGCGCGUGCGAGUGCGGUCGGACUCAGAACGGACAACGUCGAGAACCGGCAACUACUAACGGAUGCAAGUUUUGAAAACUGGCGGCAACGGAGAUGCCGAUGCAAUGCAGAUGAUGCGCAUGAUGCGAUGAUGGUGCGACAAAUAUAAAUAGACACACGACGAAAACGGAAAGAGAGGGGAAUCUUCUGGAAUGUCGGCAUCGGGCUGUCACAACUCUCCUACACUACAAGAGGAUCUCGCCCCGAGAUCCAAGAAUGAAAGGGGGAGAGGAUGAGAAAGAAUAGGGGGGUAAGAACUUAGUCGCUUCUUUGACAAACGAGUGAAAACAACGAUCCCUGAAGGUUGCAAAGCGAUGAGGAAUGAUAUGGGAAAGAAGCAAGAAUUCACGGAAAAUUUCGGCAGCACUUCGGUAGGAAAAUGGGACAAUUUUUUUCCGAAAAGGUGGAAGAAUUAGACAAUAUUCACAACCAACAAGUAAAUAGAACAAGGUAACACCAUGAUCUGGUAGAACCACAAGAUUGACCCAAAAGAGCAACAUCACAAUGCCUCCGGAACAAUAGAAUAGGAACUAGCUCAUACGGAAGAAGAGAAUGAAGAGAGAAUGACAACUACUAACUCCAAUGAACUUGACAAGCAUCCUUGCAAGAAGAAUUGGACGGAGUUGUUGGAAAACAACAACGAAAGAACAAGAUAGUAGUGGGCUUACGAAAAUCAUCUCAACAAAUAUGAGGUGACAACCAACCACUAAAAAAAACAAGGAUAACUUGGGAGAAACAAAAUAAGAACAAUUCUUACACCAAGAGGAUACAUUGAGAACUUGGAUUAAUGACAAGCACCAUGAUAGCAACCAUCCAUAGGAAAAGCUUUAGGUGAAAUCCAAACUAAGAUAGCUCAAUUAAGAAAUCAUGGGUUAAGGAUAAUCUCAUUAUCAAAGGAUUGGUGGAUUUAGUUAUCUCAUUCUUGAAAGGAAAUCUCUUCGAGGCUCCUACACUAACAAGAAGGCUAUAAUACCACCUCAAAGGAUAAAGGAAGAACAAUUGCACCGAAAUGCAAGGGAAAGAAUGCUUGAGGUACUCCAACAAGAAUCUUGAAGAACACAUGAGAAUGAAUCACAUCCUUGAUGAACCACGAAGAAGGACCUCCGUAUACAAAUGAACGAUGCAAAGAUAUGAAGGUAGAAAAGACUAAGAUUAUGACCUUUCCAAGAUUUAGAUGAAGCUUCACAAAGAGAUACUUAAAAGAACUUGGAACUCCGGAAAACAAAGAUAGCACACGAGAAAAGAAUUGAAACCAUGAGCCACUCCGGAAGAAGAAUUCAGAUUACUUAUGAACAAGAAUGAGAAUUAUGUUAUGCUUAUCCUUCAUCAAGUUUAAUUGAUGACAAGCAGCGGAUUUAGCAUAUCACUUAUUCUACUAGAAAUGAAUCUUGAAGAGACAGAGAGCUAAGCACCACUUGAAGAAAAAUUGAAGUAAGCACCGGUAAGAAUUCACAAUUGAAUGGGAACACCACGAAUUAAUGAAGAUACAUGAAAAUGAAGAGGUCAUGAGCCACCUGAGAGAAAACUUGAACAAAGCACCGGAUAAUCGAGAGACGAACGAAGGGACAAUAAUUAAGAAGAAUUGAGGAUGAAGUUGAAAGCUGAGAACGAAAAAGUCUUCUUAAAUGAUGGCCUUCGGAGGAUCGAGAAUGAAAACAACUCAGAAAAGCACCGGAUAGCACGAAAGGGAUUGCUCAUGAUAGAAACAAUUGAGAGGAAAACACGAAGCUGAGAUGAUAAUCUUCACAAGAAUGGAGCAAGAUUGAGAAUGAUGACGAGAAACAACCCACGAAUAACUGAGACACUCCGGAAUAAGAAAAAUGCAAGGUUGAGCCAAAUAUGAGAGUUAAUUCAAAUUGAUCUUGAAGAAGGAAUAUGACUGAUGAAAAUCAUACUUACGUCAUAGUUGAAAAGAAUUAAAGAUCUCCGGAAAAGAUUAAAGAGCCAGGUAAGAUCCUGGGAAAGAAUCUGUGGGUUAUGGGCCCACACAAGAAACCACCGUUGAAGAGAUUACUAGAACGGGAGAUAUUGCACCGGUGAAAAGAAAACUAGAUGAGGUUGAGCACCUCGAAAGAAUUAAAAGAAUUGAAAACACGAAACUUCCGAGAUAUCUUCAACACUCCGGAUGAAAAGAGAGGAAUGAAUACCCAAGAUAGCCUGAAAGAAUCUCCAACAUGAAAAAUAUUUACAAGGAUAAAUAGGAUAUGAAGAACACGGAUAGCCGAAUUAAAUUCACCGGUAAGGAUGACAAGAAUGAACAAAGAUGAACACGAAGCUCCUGAGAAUCUUCACAACGAAUCACCGGAUACGAGAGAAAAGAACACAUAGCGGAAGCACAAUGAAAAGAAACUCUUGGAUGGAAAUUGAAUCACUGAGAAAAGGGCGGGAGGGCGGGAAAAACAAAGACGACUUGGAACAGAUGAGAUGAACUCCGGUAAAAAGAGAGAAUGAUCUUGCAAAAUAGGAGAGGAUGGAUUCAGUUGCAGAGAAGCACACCGGUUGAAUGGAAUUGAUACGAUGACUCCGGUUUAAAAGGAAUUGACAUGACAAUCGAUAAAGCAAAAGAACUAAUACUCUCAUAAAAUAUGAGAACACCUCUUAGAAAAGAUCUGAAAUCACCACUUGACAUCGAAGCAACACGAAUUACCACAUUAAAACAAAACAAAGGGUAAGGCUUAUGAAACAAGCCAGAACAAACUCAUGAGAAAGAUUUCUGUUCGAUAUUUUCGUGGACAGGAUCGCACGGGCACGAUUUACAGUAGCCAUCAAGUGCAAGGCAGUGCACCUGACAUACGAAGCGUCCCCGAGUCGUAGCAAGCUACAAGGACUCUUUAAGACACAACGUGUACCGCUGUAAGUUGACCGUAGCGAGGCACACAUCGUGUUGUUGCCAUCAAGGGUAAAAAGAUGGGGUCUUCAUCAUUGGUUUGAGAUUAUCCCUCUACAUCAUGUCAUCUUGCUUAAGGCGUUACUGUGUUCGUCGUGAACUCAAUACACUAGAUGCAUGCUGGAUAGCGGUCGAUGUGUGGAGUAAUAGUAGUAGAUGCGGAAAGUAUCGGUCUAUUUGUCUCGGACGUGAUGCCUAUAUGUAUGAUCAUUGCCUUAGAUAUCGUCAUGACUUUGCGCGGUUCUAUCAAUUGCUCGAUAGUAAUUUGUUCACCCACCGUAAUACUUGCUAUUAUGAGAGAAGCCUCUAGUGAACACUAUGGACCCCAGGGUCUACUCCACACCAUAUUUUCAGCCUUACACUUUUUACUUCGUUGCACUUUCCGCCUUCAGAUCUCACUUUCCAAACAAUCUUGAAGGGAUUGACAACCCCUUUAAAGCAUUGGGUGCAAGCUUGUUUGUGUUUGGGCAGGUACUCCGGACUUGACGAGGCCCUCCUUCUGGAUCGAUACCUUGGUUCUCAAACUGAGGGAAAUACUUACUGCUCCUAUGCUGCAUCACCCUUUCCUCUUCAAGGGAAAAACCAACGCAAACGAGAGAAGUAACAAGAAGAAUUCCUAGCGCCAAGGAAGGACUUUUGUUGCCACAGAAGGUACCUAUUACCUUUGGGACUACUUUCAUAGCAUAAGCCAACUACCAAGUCACGCACCGCCGUGCUCUAAAAGAUGUAAGUGAAGCACAUGGAGCAAAAUUAUGUAGCUCAAAAGAUAUAAGUGAAGCACUAUGAGCAUUCUAGCAAAAUCACGAUGAGUGCAUGUCUCUCUCUCUCAAAAAGGUUUGCAGCAAGGAUGAUUGUUACACAACAAAAAGAAAAGACUCCUACGGUACAAGACGCUCCAAGCAAAACACAUAUCAUGUGGUGAAUAAAAAUAUAGCUCCAAGUAAUGUUACCGAUGGAUUGAAGACGAAAGAGGGGAUGCUUUCCCGGGGCAUCCCUAAGCUUAGGCUUUUUGGUGUCCUUGAAUUUUGCUUGGAAUGCCUUGGGCAUCCCCAAGCUUGAGCUCUUUCCACUCCUUAUCUCUUUGUCCAUGAGAACAUCACCCAAAACUUGAAAACUUCCCAACACAAAACUUAAACAGAAACUCGUGAUAUCAUUAGCACAAGAAAACAAACUACCACCUCUUUAGGUACUGCAGCAAUCUUGAUUUAUAUUUAUAUUGGUGUUGGGAUAUUGUAUUCCCACUUUUCCAUGGCUAGUACCCCCCGAUACUAACCAUAGUUUCAUCAAAACAACCAACCAACUCAACAAAAACAGAAUCUGUCAAAAACAGACCAGUCUGUAGCAAUCUGUAUACUUCGUAUACUUAUGGUACCUCACAAAUUCUGACAAAUUACGAGUGCCUGGGCAAAAGGCAUAUCAACCAUCAACAAAAAGAAUCAACUUAAAAGCUCUUUCUGAAUAAAAAUGAAAAUUCAUCUCGUGAGCGAAAAGUUUCUGUCUUUCUUCAGCAGGAUCAAACAACCAUUACCAAGACUAGUCAUAAAGGUUUUGCUUGGCUCAAACACAAAAAGAAACACAAAAAACACAAUCAUAACAGAAUUAUGAUGGUGUGGACGCAACAAAACAGAAAGAAAAAUAUAAAUUCAUUGGGUUGCCUCCCAACAAGCGCUAUUGUUUAACGCCCUUAGCUAGGCAUUGAUAAUUCAGUGAUGCUCACAUAAAAGAUAGCAAUCGGACACGAAGGGAGCAUCAUGAAACAUGUGACAAACAUAUCUAAGUCUAACAUACUUCCUAUGCGUAGGCAUUUUAUAUGAAAACAGAUUGUCAAGACAACCAAUAGUUACCAUAUGCAAGGAAGAAGAAAGAGACAAUAUCAAUAUCAACAUAACGAGAGGUGAUUUGGUAACAUGAAAGUUUCUACCACAAUAUUUUCCUCUCUCAUAGCAAUUACAUGUGGGAUCAUAAUCAAAUUCAACAAUGUAACUAUCACAUAGGAUAUUCUUUUCAUGAUCCACAUGCAUGCAAAGUUGACGCUCUUCAAAAAUAGUGGGAUUAUCAUCAACUAAAGUCAUGACUUCUCCAAACCCACUUUCAAUAAUAUUGCAAAUAUCAUAUUCAUCAUGAGGCUUAAACAAAUUUUCAAGAUCAUAAGAAAAAUCAUCGCCCCACUCAUGAUCAUUGCAACAAGUAGUGGGCAUAGCAAAACUAGCAUCCCCAAUGUCGUGGUUAUAAGUCUGACAAUAGAAAGGGGGUAAGAUAACGGAGCAUGAUCUAUCAAGAUGCACAUGGGUGACACGGUGGUGUUAGCGAGUUCAGGCCUCUCACAGUGGAGAUAACAACCCUACGUCUCGUGCUCCGGAGAGGCUUUGUUUUAUCUGUCAUGGACAUGAGUUACAUGGUGUAGAGAGAGUCAGAGCUCCAGGGAAGGAAUGAGCCCGCAGGGGGAGAAGAAGAAGAAGAUGUCCCUAGCUAUGUGGAGGGGGGUGGCUUAUAUAGAGUGCGCCACCUCCUCACCUCUUAUGUUGGUAUUUGCAUGCCCGAGUGAGUAGUACGUUCGAGUGAACUUAAGAAUUGAAGUUGAUCCGAGUGACCAACAGGAUCUUGAGACUCUGACUGACUGCUGGUAGUCGGUUCGAAUCUGUUGAAUCUGUUGAACUUGGAUGUUGUUGGUGGACCUGACCAAGCAGAAUGUUUUUUUGUUUUUCUCUUCUAGUGGGGGCACGCUAAGUGCACCCACCUGGUGUAGUCCCCGAGCCUCUGUUGGACUAGAUGAGUCCGGCAGAGGGUUUAAGUCAUCCAAAGCUCGUCAUGUUGAAUGUUUGUUGUAUCUGCAUUAUAUGAUUUCUAGAUCAAAGUCAAGUCUCUAAGAGUGGAGAGGCGAUACGGAGUCGCAACUAAGUCCUCAAGUGUGGAGCAUGUCCGCACUCGGAGUUGUUUUUAACUUAGGCGAUACGGAGUCGCAGCUAAGUCCCCGAGUGUGGAGCAUGUCGGCACUCGAAGUUGGUUUUCACUUAGGCGAUACGGAGUCGCAGCUAAGCCCCSKAGUGUGGUAGCGAUGUACGCACUCAGAGUUGUUUUUAACUUAGGCGAUACAGAGUCGCAGCUAAGUCCCCGAGUGUGGAGCAUGUCCGCACUCAGAGUUGUUUUUAACUUAGGAGAUACAGAGUCGCAGCUAAGUCCCCAAGUGUGGAGCAUGUCCGCACUCGGAGUUGUUUUUAACUUUAGGCGAUACGGAGUCGCAGCUAAGCCCCCGAGUGUGGAGCAUGUCCGCACUCAGAGUUGUUUUUAACUUAGGCGAUACGGAGUCGCAGCUAAGUCCACCGAGUGUGGAGCAUGUCCGCACUCAGAGUUGUUUUUAACUUAGGCGAUACGGAGUCGCAGCUAAUGUUGGAAUUAUGCCCUAGAGGCAAUAAUAAAUGUAUAGUUAUUAUUAUAAUUCCUGUAUCAAGAUAAUAGUUUAUUAUCCAUGCUAUAAUUGUAUUGAAUGAAGACUCAUUUACAUGUGUGGAUACAUAGACAAAACACCGUCCCUAGCAUGCCUCUAGUUGGCUAGCCAGUUGAUCGAUGAUAAUCAGUGUCUUCUGAUUAUGAACAAGGUGUUGUUGCUUGAUAACUGGAUCACGUCAUUAGGAGAAUCACGUGAUGGACUAGACCCAAACUAAUAGACGUAGCAUGUUGAUCGUGUCAUUUUGUUGCUACUGUUUUCUGCGUGUCAAGUAUUUAUUCCUAUGACCAUGAGAUCAUAUAACUCACUGACACCGGAGGAAUGCUUUGUGUGUAUCAAACGUCGCAACGUAACUGGGUGACUAUAAAGAUGCUCUACAGGUAUCUCCGAAGGUGUUAGUUGAGUUAGUAUGGAUCAAGACUGGGAUUUGUCACUCCGUGUGACGGAGAGGUAUCUCGGGGCUCACUCAGUAAUACAACAUCACACACAAGCCUUGCAAGCAAUGUAACUUAGUGUAAGUUGCGGGAUCUUGUAUUACGGAACGAGUAAAGAGACUUGCCGGUAAACGAGAUUGAAAUAGGUAUGCGGAUACUGACGAUCGAAUCUCGGGCAAGUAACAUACCGAAGGACAAAGGGAAUGACAUACGGGAUUAUACGAAUCCUUGGCACUGAGGUUCAAACGAUAAGAUCUUCGUAGAAUAUGUAGGAUCCAAUAUGGGCAUCCAGGUCCCGCUAUUGGAUAUUGACCGAGGAGUCUCUCGGGUCAUGUCUACAUAGUUCUCGAACCCGCAGGGUCUGCACACUUAAGGUUCGACGUUGUUUUAUGCGUAUUUGAGUUAUAUGGUUGGUUACCGAAUGUUGUUCGGAGUCCCGGAUGAGACCACAUACGUCACGAGGGUUUCCGGAAUGGUCCGGAAACGAAGAUUGAUAUAUAGGAUGACCUCAUUUGAUUACCGGAAGGUUUUCGGAGUUACCGGGAAUGUACCGGGAAUGACGAAUGGGUUCCGGGGGUUCACCGGAGGGGGGCAACCCACUCCGGGGAAGCCCAUAGGUAUUUGUGGGGGUCACACCAGCCCUUAGUGGGCUGGUGGGACAGCCCACUAAAUCCUAUGCGCCAAGGAAUAAAAAUCAAAGGAAGAAAGAAAAAAAARGAGGGGAAGUGGGAAGGGGGAAGGACUCCCUCCCACCAAACCAAGUAGGACUCGGUUUGGGGGGGGGGAGAGUCCUCCCCCCUGGCUCGGCCGACCCCCUUGGAGUCCCUUGGACUCCAAGGCAAGGUCCCCCUCCCUCCUCCUAUAUAUAUGGGGCUUUUAGGGCAGAUUUGAGACGACUUUCUCACGGCUGCCCGACCACAUACCUCCAUAGUUUUUCCUCUAGAUCGUGUUUCUACGGAGCUCGGGCGGAGCCCUGCUGAGACAAGAUCAUCACCAACCUCCGGAGCGCCGUCACGCUGCCGGAGAACUCUUCUACCUCUCCGUCUCUCUUGCUGGAUCAAGAAGGCCGAGAUCAUCGUCGAGCUGUACGUGUGCUGAACGCGGAGGUGCCGUCCGUUCGGUACUAGAUCGUGGGACUGAUCGCGGGAUUGUUCGCGGGGCGGAUCGAGGGACGUGAGGACGUUCCACUACAUCAACCGCGAUCUCUAAUCGCUUCUGCUGUACGAUCUACAAGGGUACGUAGAUCACUCAUCCCCUCUCGUAGAUGGACAUCACCAUGAUAGGUCUUCGUGCGCGUAGGAAAAUUUUUGUUUCCCAUGCGACGUUCCCCAACAAAAUGACCACCGUACAUGGGCACAUGCAAUAUUUUUGUAUCAAUUACAGAUGAAAAUGAUAAGGUUGCUAACCUCGGUCGAGGAUACCAUUUUGUGUGAACUUAAGUGUGACUCAGGCAUUAGUCCCGGUUCGUAAUAUACUCUGAAGUGCGUCGGUCAUCGUACAUCCAUUGACGGUUCAUCUAUAUUAUGAAAUUAAGUAUAUAAAAACCAUUGGUGAACAUCACGAAUAGAGAAAUGACCAAAUUAAUACAAGUUCAUCAUCACAUUAAACCAAAGUACAUUAGUGAUCAAAUGUUAUUAUUGCAAAAAUAAAUACAUAAAGUUCUCUCAUAAAACAACAUACAACUAUGUAAAACAUUUAAAUGCAACAACAAAUGCGAUCAAAAUCGCAACUAAGGUAACAAUUGACCCAACAACAUAAUGAUACGAAGCCUCUUUAUCAAUGGCAUAUUUUUUAAUAUUCAUAAUCUUCAGGCGCAUUGCAUCCAUCUUCAAGUGCAUUACAUCCAUCUUCAACCGCAUUGCAUCCAUCUUCAUCUUGUGAUCAUCGAUGACAUCGGCAACAUGCAACUCCAGUUUCAUAUUCUUCUCCUCAAUUAUUUUCAGUUUUUCUUCAAGUAAUUGUUUUAUUUUUCAACCAAAUUUAACUUCUCAACAAGAAUUUCUAUGUCGGUUGGAAUUUCUGGUUCACAUACCUCCUAGAUUAAAAAUUCUAUGUCACGUUGGUCGGCAUAAUUGGCAUAAACACUAAAUAAAACAAAUAGUUAUAAAAGAUAAUAUAUACCACAUCCGAAUCAUAGACAGGACGAGGGCUGACGGAGGCGGAUACCAAAACCAUCGCGCUAUAUAAUACAAAAAAUAAUAAAAGUAAGUAAUUUAUACAAGUAUCUAUCUAAAUCAUACAAGUAAGUUUUUUUCCUUUUAAAAAGAAUAUAAGAACAAGAGGCUCACCACGGUGGUGCUGGCGACGAGAUCGGCUCGGGCGACCGACAACGGUGAGGACGAACACGGGACGACACCCUACACAUGUGCACACUCUAAGAAGUUAAUUUGAGCUCAAAUUUUGCAUCUAAAUCAAAAGACUCCCACAUACACUCCUACACUAAAACCCACAAACCACUCUACUUCUAGAGCAUUUGAAAUGAGCUAAACUAGCAGCGAGAGAUGAGAGGAUGAAGUAGCUAACCUUUAGAACACUUGUGUAGUUGGUGCACCGUCAAACCUAGACAAAUCUUGAGGAAAAUAGAGCUUGGAGAUGUCGAGCUUGGAGAGGAGAAAGCUUAAGUGUGGCUCGGGCAUUUCAUCGAACACCUCAUGUGUAUGCAUAGAAGGGUGGAAGAGCACGUCAUGCACACCUCACACAACCAAAAAACAGAGGAGAGGGUGGGCAUGUAUAUAUAGGCAUCUCUUUGGUCCCGGUUAAUGGACAGAACCGGGACAGAAGACCAACCAUUAGUCCCGGUUCCAGCCCCCAACCGGGACUAAUGCUCCGCGGCACGUCACAUGUCAGUCGCUGGAUCUUUAGUCCCUUUUUUUGGCACGAACCGGGACUAAUGCGUCGAACCGAACCGGGACUGUUGCCCCGCGAGGCCCUGGCAGCUCGAACCGGGACCAAUGCCUCGCAUUGGUCUCGGUUUUAUUUCGACCCGGGGCUAAUGUGAUUUGGGGCUGCGGCUGAAAGCCUCAUUUUCUAUUAGUGGACUACACCAACUUCUACAAGCUUCUCGGCAUGUAGAGGGCGGUGACGGUGUAGUAGUGUUUAAAUUUCGUUUAAAAUUAUGUUUUUAGUUCAGCUUCUACAAAUAGCAAUAAAAAUGCUGAAUCUUCUUUAAAUUUGUGUCAUUUUUGAUCGAAUCUAGGCUGAGUUUGAUUCUAAAAAACCCGGUUGGGGGCGACUUUGGGGGGCGUCUCGACCUCCCUAUCUUUUUUUUCGCUGGUGUGCCCCUAGGCGGCGUUAUUUCAAGCUCUUGGGUGCCGAAACGGCCGGAGAUGCUCUAACUAGUUAGGCGGAGUAAGAUAUGAAACGAGGUGUAUGUAAAGAGUGAAAAUAGCAAAAACGAGUAAUAGUGGACGGGAGCUAGGGAGAUUGGUAUUCAAAUACCAUAUUUCUACAUCGCCACGAUAUAAGGAAAAUGUGUGUAUACAAACACAUGUAUACCAUGCACAUGCACAUUUUUUCAACAAUAUAUUUUCAUGCAUAGCAUACACAAAAAGAGAUAAAUACAUACAUGACAAUAGGCCGGCUCCUUUUGUCGUUGGGCCAACAUUUUUUGUGUUGCCUACAAAACACUAUAUAUUUUGAUGAAGAUUUACAUGUCUGUAUUUUCAAAAAAACUAUUUUUUUAACCAUGAAAUACACUUUUUGGCCCUUUUUUCAUAAUACCGGGCUUCAUGGAUCAUGGUAGCCGAAAAUCCGCACUUGUGGAAAAAGUGGGAACACAAAUCAUGUAAUUGUUGGACAUAAUUUUUUAACAAAUAUUUGAAAAUCUGGCAUGUUAGACAACGGGAGUAUGAGAAAAAGAACAAAAUGAAAUGUGAGAUUGUGUCUUUAUUAAUGAAACUAUGGUUUAGUUUUAUAUUCCGCCCUCAACAAAUCCGCAUACUAAUUUAGUGGUAGCAAAAUACCCAUGCAGCAUCAUCAAAGUCAUAUCCCCCAAGGUGGAGUGGCUCCAACAAAAUAUAGGUGUCAAAUAUCUUCAUUGUCUCGCUCAUAGUAGUGAACACUUCGUCCACCCAAAAAUUAUCAAAUGAACAAAUGUAUUCUUUCAUCUUUCUGUCGUAUUUUUCCGGCCUAUAAAUGUCCGUGUUUCUCUUACCGUCUAUGGGCUUUUGUUUCGCAGCACUCAUGUACACAAUCUCUUUCACGAAACGAUAAGCUUUUGAGUAUUUUUCUACAUUUUUUAUUUUUGUGUGUGACAAUUAACACAAUUUAGAGCUAGAAUGACUGAGAUGUGACUCCUUUAAAAGAUCCAAGAGAAUUCCUAAAUUAUUUUUUUAAUAUUUUUUCUACGUGCUGUUGAUCAAGCUAAGAGCAGAUGCCACGAGGAUCUGGCCAGUUAGGUGGAGUAAAAUAUAAAAUGUUGUGGAUGUGAGAAAAGGAACGAAGUUGACUAAUGGUGGAUGGGGAGGUCGGUAUUCAAAUACCGGUUUUCUACAUCAACAAAAAAGGAAAAAAAAAUGUGCAUACACAAAUACAUGUAUAUCAUGUACGUGCAAAUUUUCAUAACGAUAUAUUUUUCAUACGUGUAUACAAAAAGAAAAGAUACGUGCAUACAUGAUAAUAGGCUUUUUUUUGUUGUUGUGCCGGGAUUUUUAUUUUCGUUGAUUAUAAAUCUCUGUAUUUUUAAAUGAAGUUUUAUAGACGUGCAGUGAACAGGUAUAAGUUUCCUCAGAUUUGUCAUUUGAAACACAACUUUUUGCGGGGUGUUCUUUGAAACAUUGAAAUAUUGUUGCCUUUUUUUUUCAAAAUACGGUGCUACACGGAGCAUGGUAGCCAAAAAAUUGCACUUGUGAAAAGAGUGGGAAGACAAAUCAGGUAAUCUUUGGAUUAAUUUCCGCAAACACCCGUUUGGAACUUUGACAUAGUAGACGGCGGGAGCAUUAUGAAAUAACAAAAUGAAAUGUGAGGUUUUUGCACAAAAUGAGUGUAGCUUAGAUAAUUAGGUUUCUCAUGGUGAAAUCAACCCAUCAAGAUUCCAAGCCCUAGACUUGACAUUGGUGGUUGUAUUUUUUAAAUUUAUUUCAGAUUUUUUGAGGAUGCAUGUUCAGUGAGAGAAAAAGUCUUCGUCCAUUGCAAAUACAUAUCUGAAAAGUGCAUGCGUCUGUAUCGUGUUAAGAAAACAUUUUAUUUUCACAUGUUUCUCCUCUCCCAGGUUGUAUCGGUAUUUGGUUCAUCUUGCAACUUUUUUGGCUUGUGCAGAGGUAGAUGUGGAGAGCAAUGAACACUUCGUUCAUCCAAAAAUAUGAAACGAACAAAUGCGUUCUUUCAUCUUACCGUCACUUCUUCCCUGCCAGAAAAAAAACGUUUGCUUGUUCCCAGCACUCACGCACACAGUCUUUUUUACGAACCGAGAAGCUUCUGAGCAUUUUUCCGGCUAUGACGAUCACCCAAAGCACGCAGCGACAAGCACGUUAGCGUUAACACGCACACGCCUGCCAUCACCGCGAAAACGGGGUGCGCAACGGAAUCCGAUCCACGCCACGAAAGGACGUCCCAUUAGCUUCUCCAUCCAUAUAUGUCUAGUCGGCACAGCGCUGGCUUAGCAAUAGCAACCAACCAAACCAUGUUAGGCAGCGAAAACAUGCCGCAAAAACCUGCUUGGAGGCACGCACAAGCCAUCUAAAGCCGUUGCUAAAAUGCUAAGCCAGCAGCUAAAUCACGCCUAGACAGCGUGGCUUCCCGGAGCCUCUUCUUCUAAUACAAACAACACAUGGCGACCUCAAAAACGGCCUGCCCCGGCGCGUCCCUGUCUUUGCUUUACGGGCGGGUCGAUUCGUAGCGGGGAAAAACUUGAAGGAAAUUCCCGAUCCAUGCUUGCCCGAUCGCGGAAGGCAAGGGUGCGACGCCGACGCUCGCGCCACAAAUGUAGCAGGGCGAUUUAUAUUCCGUUCGGUUCGUUUUCAUGGGCUGUUGUUCCGGCGUGCAUCCCCUCCCUUUUUGCGGCCUUGCGUAUCUAUCGGGCACUCGAAAGGCUGGUCCGGCCGUGCCCAUGUAUGGCAUAUGCGUCGACAAGUUUGGUCCGGAGCUGCUGGAGUGGAGACUCCUCUCGUAUGAAGCGAAGCGAACGAAGAGCCCCAUGCGCUCGAACUGGCUGGCCAUGGGGUGUAUGGAUGAGAGCGAUUUUUGCAGUAUUUAUUCCUCCCUUUCCACUUGGUAAAAGUGAAGUGGAGUUACCGGCACGUCUAGGGGUGGCCUGCGGGCCGCACGUUGGCGCCGUUGCUUGCCUCGUUGGUGCGGUACCGGGUGGUGGCUUGGUGUGGGCGGCUGUGGUCCACGCGAACGCACGGCGUCGGGUCGGCUCACGCGGCCGGACCCGCGCCUCCCGGCCGGGGCGGCGCACCGCCUCCGGGUUCACCGGGGUGACGCGAUGGGCUCGCUUUUGUUUAUGCCUCCCUAUGCGCUGUUGCUGCCGUGCAAGUCGUGGGCAGAGGCGCAGAGCGGUUGAAAAAUCGCAGCUACUCGCGACCUUCACGCCAGGGGCACCCGCCGACCUGGAGCACUAGCGAUGGGCACCACGGGAAAGCUCCACCUGUGCGCUCGGCUCGGCGCCAGCGCGACCGCCGUGCGCGCUCCACGUCGCCUCCUUCUUCAAACCCCGCCAUCACCUUUUGACGAGCCCAGGACCACCUGCGCUUUCUAUAGAUUAAGAAAGAGAUCUACUCUAGGGUAGUAACAUCUAUAAUAUUCGAGAUUUCUUUCGCUAAAAAUAUAUACUGUCCUUAGAAUUCGUUUUUGGAAGGGGACUAUAAGCGGACGUGAGGAUCUUGCGUGAGCUGACAAUCUGGUCGCUGCCGGCAACAUGGUUUAUUCUUUGUUGCACUAAUCUUGUAUAUGCAUAUUUUUUAAAGGACUAGAUAUGUUAUAGAAAUUCAUCGAAAAUGCAUAGCACCUUAUACAUAGGAUCAUGCACCUCCGAGCGAUCACUACUACCGUCAGAACGAGUGGUCAACGCGUUGUUCCCAUGUCGGAGCUCGCCUGCCAUUGUCGAUGACAAUGAGAAGUCUUCGUGCAUAUGUGCCCUUAAGGACAAGCAUCCUGAAACAAAAAUCAUCGAUGUUGAAUAGUUGAAUCGAUCUAAUGAAGCUGACGCCGAAUCUCGUCGUUGGGUAUACACGACAAGAAACCGUAGCCUCUCUACCCGAGGAGUUGACGCGAAGCUAAACCGGAGGUCCGUCUAAUCCAUCCCGACGGAAGGAAUUGACGAGGAUUGAAUCCUCGAAAACUGAUUUGAAGAAGAAGUGUCGCCAUCCACUCGAGGGCCGCCCUUGCGGGCACUAAAACCUUACUUAUCUACUAGCCGGGGCCAAGGCACCAUAAUUCCCCUCCCUGCCACUAGCCACAUGAGCGGCAUGCAGAGAGGAGAAGAAUCAACAGGCUCAUUGACGGGGUUGUACAUUAGGAGUAGUCCUACGGACCCGAAUCCCUAGGCCUGCCCAAGACCAUACAUGGACAUUAGCGUUCCAAAAGUCACCUAUGCAGUCAUAGUCUCACUCGAACAAGUGUGUGUCACCCGACUCACAUGACUUCACUCGGUCUGUUUCAUAUCAGUCGAACGUUCAUCAACACUCGGACUGCAGCAGGACGUGGGCAAGGAAGGGACUACAAUGGCCAUAGACUUGAACUAUUACAUGAAGUGUAGUGAAGACACGUGUUACCAGUAACGCCGUAGUUAGAGUUGUCAUUACUAGUAACUUCCGUAGUUAUUAGCAUUUACUCACCCUUGCAAUGAAGUCUGGUCGGUCGUGGCGCACUCUAUCUAAGCCACCCCGGGAUCCUGGGCAAGGGUUCAACAUUCUGUACUAUCUCAUACUCUAUAAUCCAACACCAGCCUUCGAGGCUCGAGAUGUAGGGUCGUUACCACUCCCGAGUGGGGCCCGAACUCGUACAUCCGAGUGUAUCCUCUGUGCUAGGCUCCACCCCUUGUUCGUACCCCUGGUACUAUUGUCAGGAUCAUUCCCACAACAUUUGGCGCCCAUCGUGGGGCUUGAUACGUCCAUUUUGCAUCAUGUUUUCAUGUUGAUAUUUAUCGCUUCUUGGGCUGUUAUUUCACUUCAGGUACAAUACUUAUGCCUUUUCUCUCUUAUUUUGAAACUUUUACAUGAAGAGGGAGAAUGCCGGCAACUGGAAUUGUGGCCUGAAAGUGGAGCAAAGUUGAGAUACCACAAGCCCCCUAGGCGAGGCCAGGGGGAGGCCGCGCCUAGCAGGCUUGUGGCCUCCUGCUGGCGCCCCUCUGGCACCCCUCUGGCACUUCUUCGGCCCAGUAUUUUUUAUAAAUCCCAAAAAAUCCACGUUGAUUUUCACGGCUUUUGGAGUUGCGCAGAAUAGGCAUCUCAAACUUGCUCAUUUUUCAGGCCAGAAUUCUAGCUGCCGGCAUUCUCCCUCUUCAUGUAAACCUUGCAAAAUAAGAGAGAAAAGGCAAAAGUAUUGUACCGUAAAGUUUAAUAACAACCCAAAAAGCAAUAAAUAUCAACAUGAAAGCAUGAUGCAAAAUGGACGUAUCAACUCCCCCAAGCUUAGACCUCGCUUGUCCUCAAGCGAAAACCUAGAUCAAUAAACAUGCCCACAUGUUUAGGGAGAGAGGUGUCGACAAAACAAGAUACGAACAUGAAGGCAUCAUGAUCAUGAUCAGAACAGCAAUACCAUCAUAUCAACUCUUAUGCUAAAGUGAAAAUUCCUUCACAAAGUAAAGUAUGGAUCAAGAACCUUACCGAGAAUUAACAACCGAUAGACUUUAGUCAAUGAAGCAAUUGCAAUUUAUCAUAACAUCGUAAAGAGUCAAAUAAGAGCUUGUAAAGAAAAUCCACAUACUCAAUCAUCUUUUCCUUCUCUACAAUUGCUACAACUCACGUGGUACUCAUGAGAUCAAAGUUUCAGUUGGACGCAGAGAAAGAUAGGGGCUUAUAGUUUCGCCUCCCAACCAUUUACCUCAAGGGUAAUGUCAACAAUAAUAAUUCAUGAAUGCUUACCUCCAAGUUGACAUAAGAAUGUAGAUCUUUCCCUAGCAUAUGACGUUAGCCAAGAUAAAGGCGAAAUAAGGAAUUGGUGAAGAUCACCAUGACUCUUUCAAGGGCAAAAAGUAAAGGUACAAGAUAGGCCCUUCGCAGAGGGAAGCAGAGGUUGUCAUGCGCUUUUGAGGUUUGGAUGUGUUUCCUCUUAGUGCGGAGGAACGUCACUUUAUAUUGCCUCCUGUGAUAAAGAACUUUAUUAUGCAGUCCGUCGCUUUUAUGUCUUCCUCAUCACAGGUUCGUACAAAGCUUAUUUUCCACACACUAAUAGAUCAUACAUAUUAGGGAGCAAUUUCUAUUGCUUGCACCGAUGACAACUUACUUGAGGGAUCUUAUUCAAUCCAUAGGUAGGUAUGGUGGACUCUCAUGGCAAAACUGGGUUGAAGGUUUGUGGAUGCACAAUUAGUAUCUCUACUUGGUGCGGGAGUUUUGGCUAAUAUAAGGUGGAAGCAAUCGUCACAUGCUAAGGGAUCUCUAGUCAUAUAACAUUGUUCAGAACCAAGAAAACAUAAUUCAUUAUGUUGUCUUCCUUGUCCAACAUCUACUUCUAAGCAUGCAAUAGCUUAGUGAGUGUUCACAAUCAUAGAUGGUGUCAAAGAUGAUAUAUUUAUAUGUGAACCUCUCCUUCUUUAUCACUUCCUACUAAUUGCAACAAUGACCAAGGUCUACGUUUGUCUACCCUCAACAAGUUUCAAUCAUCAUUCUUUUUAUAUGUGAAGCCAUCACUUCCCAUAAGAUCAUUGCAUGAUCCUNNNNNNNNNNNNNNNNNNNNNNNNNNNNNNNNNNNNNNNNNNNNNNNNNNNNNNNNNNNNNNNNNNNNNNNNNNNNNNNNNNNNNNNNNNNNNNNNNNNNUUGCAAGGCUUGUGUGUGAUGUUGUAUUACCGAGUGGGCCCCGAGAUACCUCUCCGUCACACGGAGUGACAAAUCCCAGUCUUGAUCCAUACUAACUCAACUACCACCUUCGGAGAUACCUGUAGAGCAUCUUUAUAGUCACCCAGUUACGUUGCGACGUUUGAUACACACAAAGCAUUCCUCCGGUGUCAGUGAGUUAUAUGAUCUCAUGGUCAUAGGAACAAAUACUUGACACGCAGAAAACAGUAGCAACAAAAUGACACGAUCAACAUGCUACGUCUAUUAGUUUGGGUCUAGUCCAUCACGUGAUUCUCCUAAUGACGUGAUCCAGUUAUCAAGCAACAACACCUUGUUCAUAAUCAGAAGACACUGACUAUCAUCGAUCAACUGGCUAGCCAACUAGAGGCAUGCUAGGGACGGUGUUUUGUCUAUGUAUCCACACAUGUAAAUGAGUCUUUGUUCAAUACAAUUAUAGCAUGGAUAAUAAACUAUUAUCUUGAUACAAGAAUUAUAAUAAUAACUAUACAUUUAUUAUUGCCUCUAGGGCAUAAUUCCAACACAUUUCACUAUUCAUGCAUGAUGCAGAUCGAUGCACGAAAGCCAUGGAUGUACAGCGAACGACGUGGUUCCGGAUUUAUUGCAGGCCUGCAUGAAUUUAUCUAUGUGGCUGAGGCAAACAAAGUGGAUACUUUUAUGCCUUGUCCAUGUGUUGACUAUCGAAACGUGAAGGAGUACUCUACCUCGAAAACCAUUCAAGGCCACGUUCUUGAUAGAGGUUUCAUGCCCACAUAUUAUUGUUGGACCGUGCACGGAGAAAGAGGGGUUAGGAUGGAAGACAAUGAAGAAGAAGAUGAUGAUGACAACUAUCCUAUGUUCACUGAAGAAUACGGUGAUACUGCAAUAGAAGACAAUGAAGAAGAAGGAGGUGAAGAACAACCGGCAUGAGUUGAGCCCGCUGAUGGUCUUGGUCGGGUCAUUUCUGAUGCAAAGAGAGAAUGUGAUGCAGACAAGGAGAAGUUGAAGUUGGAGGCCAUGCUAAAGGAUCAUAAAAAGUUGUUGUACCCAAAUUGCGAAGAUGGCAGCACAAAGCUCGGUACCACACUGGAACUGUUGAAAUGGAAGGCAUAAACUGGUUUAUCUGACAAGCGACUUAAGAAGUUACUGAAAAUAUUGAAGCCGAAGCUUCCAAAGGAUAACGAAUUGCCCGAGACUACGUACGAAGCAAAGAAGGCUAUCUGCCCUCUUGGAUUAGAUGUGCAGAAGAUACAUGCAUGCAUUAAUGACUGCAUCCUGUACCGCGGUGAGAAGUACGAGAAUAUGGAAAAAUGGCCGGUAUGCACUGCAUGUCGGUACAAGAUCUGACAAGAUGACCCUGGUGAUGUUGAGGGCGAUGACGAGCCCCCAGGAAGAAGGUUCCUGCUAAGGUUAUGUGGAUGCUCCUAUAAUACCACGGUUGAAACGUCUGUUUAGAAACAAUGAGCAUGCCAAGUUGAUGCGAUGGCACAAAGACGAGCAUAAGAAAGACGAGAAAUUGGGACACCUCGCAGAUGGGUCGCAGUGGAGGAAAAUCGAGAGGGAGUGGCCGGACUUUGUAGAUGACCCAAGGAACUUAUGGCUUGGUCUAUGUACAAACGACAUGAAUCCUUUUGGGGAGCAGAGCUGCACCCACAGCACCUGUCCCGUGACUCUAUGUAUCUACAACCUUCCUCCUUGGUUGUGCAUGAAGCGGAAGUUCAUUAUGAUGCCAGUGCUCAUCCGAGGACCGAAGCAACCCAACAACGACAUUGAUGUGUACCUAAGGCCAUUAGUUGAUGAACUUUUGCAGUUGUGGGCCAAACCAGGUAUAUGUGUGUGGGAUGAGCACAAACAGCGGGAAUUUGACCUACGAGCAUUGUUGUUCGUAACCAUCAAUGAUUGGCCUGUUCUUAGUAACAUUUCAGGACAGUCAAACAAGGGAUACAAUGCAUGCACGCACUGUUUAGAUAAGACCAAAGGUACAUAUUUGGAAAAAUCUAAGAAGGUUGUCUACCUGGGGUGUCGUCAAUUUCUUCCGAACAAUCAUCUCAUAAGAAAGAAAGGCAAGCAUUUCAACGGUGAGGCAGAUCACCGGAAGAAGCCUAACCUCCCUACUGGUGAUGAGUUAUUGGCUAUGGUCAAGGAUUUGGAUCAAAUAGUAAUCUUUGGAAAGGGUCCUGGCGGUCAAUCUGUUCCGAAAGACGACGUUACCGGACACGUGCCCAUGUGGAAAAAGAAAUCUUUAUUUUGGGAGCUACCCCAUUGGAAACACCUAGAGGUCCGGUUUUCAAUCGACGUGAUGCACGUGACGAAGAAUCUUUGCGUGAACCUGCUAGGCUUCCCGGGCGUGUAUGGGAAGAAAAAAGAUACACCAGAAGCACGGGAGGAGCAGCAAUGUACGAAAGACCCAUACGACAAGAAGACUGAUAAAAGGCAUCAAUACUUAAGCAUUUAGGCUCUUACCAAAGCACAGAAGGAAAUCUUUUUGGAAUGCCUGAGCAGUAUGAAGGCCCCCGCUGGCUUCUCAUCUAAUAUAAAGGGAAUAAUAAAUAUGGUAGAGAAAAAAUUCCAAAACCUGAAGUCUCAUGAUUACCACGUGAUUAUGACGCAGUUGCUUCCGGUUGCACUGAGGGGGCUUUUACCAGAAAGUGUUUAAUUACCCAUUGUGAAGCUAUGUACAUUACUUAAUGCAAUAUCUCAGAGGGUAAUCGAUCGAGAACGUCUGAAAAGGCUACAGAAGGAUGUGAUCCAAUGUCUUGUCAGUUUUGAGUUGGUGUUCCCCCGUCCUUCUUCAAUAUUAUGACGCAUCUCCUGGUUUACCUGGUCGACGAGAUUUCCAUUCUCGGUCCUGUAUUUCUACACAAUAUGUUCCCCUUUGAGAGGUUCAUGGGAGUCUUGAAAAAAUAUGUUCAUAAUCGUGCUAGGCCAGAAGGAAGCAUCUCAAAGGGCUAUGGAACAUAGGAGGUCAUUGGGUUCUGUGUAGACUUUCUUCCUGACCUUAAGCCGAUUGAUGUUCCUCAAUCGCGACAUGAGGGGAGACUGAGUGGAAAAGGCAUUCUAGGAAAGAAAACAGUGAUAUGUAGGGACGGACAUUCUUUCACUCGAGCACACUACACAGUUCUAAAAAGUUCCACCUUCGUGGCUUCGUAUAUCGAGGAACACAAGAAUUUUGUACGCUCCGAGUUCCCGGGGAAGGCUGACUCCUGGAUUGAAGAAAAACACAUGGAUACUUUCGACAAUUGGUUGCGAGCACGCCUCAUGAAUGACAACACUGUUGGAGAUCAACUCUACUUGUUGGCCGUGUCACCUUGUUCGACCGUAUUACAUUUGCAAGGUUAUGAGAUAAAAAGUAAUACAUUUUACACAAUUGCUCAAGAUAAAAAGAGCACCAACCAAAACAGUGGUGUCCGGUAUGAUGCAACAGACGAGAAUGGGAAAAAGGACACAUACCAUGGUUACAUAGAGGAGAUAUGGGAACUUAACUCUGGACCUACUUUUAAGGUCCCUUUGUUUCGGUGUAGUUGGGUGAACAUGAAUGGAGAAGGGGUAAAGGUAGACCAGUUGUACGGAAUGACAACAGUUGAUCUCAAGAAUCUUGGUUACAGAGACGAGCCAUUCGUCCUAGCAAAUGAUGUGGCUCAGUUUUGCUACGUGAAAGACAUGUCCUCCAGACCGAAAAAUAAAUAAAAUAAGCAAAUGAAUACACGGGACAAUGAGCCAAAGCGUCACAUAGUUCUUUCAGGGAAAAGGAACAUCGUGGGAAUCGAGGACAAGACACACAUGUCAGCAGAUUAUAAUAAGUUUGAUGAAAUUCCGCCCUUCACAGUGAGAAUUGACCCAAACAUCCCAUUAAAUAAUGAAAAUGCUCCAUGGUUACGGCCAAAGCGGUCAUAGGCAAGGGAUCGAAAUAUAAAUCUAUGUAAUGUAUCAAACUUUAUGUGUUGUGUGCUAAUGUAUUAAACUUUGAAAGAGAUUGUCUGUUUUGUACACGAAGUGCAUCCAAUUUUUGUCGUAACCCUCUCAACUUUUUAGCACAUUCUAUGUGGGUGAAAUGAUGAUGUCAUGCCAACUUUCAACCUUUUCAGAGUUCAUUUGUAGUGCUUUCCAAUUUCAUGAUCAUUUACCUCAAAAAAAUAAGUAAAUGCAUGAAAAAUACCAAAUGAAGUGUGAAAUUGUGGAAAAUUAAUGAUGUGCCUCUAAAUGAUGCAUUUUAAAUACACAAAAAGUAUGGAGUUCAAAUAAGUUCAAAAAAUGAAAUGCCUUUAUAACAGAUGAGUUUUCGUUCAAAANNNNNNNNNNNNNNNNNNNNNNNNNNNNNNNNNNNNNNNNNNNNNNNNNNNNNNNNNNNNNNNNNNNNNNNNNNNNNNNNNNNNNNNNNNNNNNNNNNNNNNNNNNNNNNNNNNNNNNNNNNNNNNNNNNNNNNNNNNNNNNNNNNNNNNNNNNNNNNNNNNNNNNNNNNNNNNNNNNNNNNNNNNNNNNNNNNNNNNNNNNNNNNNNNNNNNNNNNNNNNNNNNNNNNNNNNNNNNNNNNNNNNNNNNNNNNNNNNNNNNNNNNNNNNNNNNNNNNNNNNNNNNNNNNNNNNNNNNNNNNNNNNNNNNNNNNNNNNNNNNNNNNNNNNNNNNNNNNNNNNNNNNNNNNNNNNNNNNNNNNNNNNNNNNNNNNNNNNNNNNNNNNNNNNNNNNNNNNNNNNNNNNNNNNNNNNNNNNNNNNNNNNNNNNNNNNNNNNNNNNNNNNNNNNNNNNNNNNNNNNNNNNNNNNNNNNNNNNNNNNNNNNNNNNNNNNNNNNNNNNNNNNNNNNNNNNNNNNNNNNNNNNNNNNNNNNNNNNNNNNNNNNNNNNNNNNNNNNNNNNNNNNNNNNNNNNNNNNNNNNNNNNNNNNNNNNNNNNNNNNNNNNNNNNNNNNNNGUUGGUGGCUCCAACCGGGACUAAAGGGGUGGGUCUUUAGUCCCGGUUGGAGCCCCAAACCGGGACUAAAGGCCUCUGUAUAUAAGAGGGAGUUGGAAUUUUUCCAAUCCAUUGCCAGUUUCUUCUUCGUCGUGCCCCCGAUGCCUCCAGGCUGCCCGACGCCGAACCGCUCGUCGUCGUCGUCGUCGUCGCCACCAGGCUGCCCGUCUCCGAUCAGCACAGCGCAGCCCCAACCCCUCGCCGCCACGGACCCAUACCCUCCCUGCACCGCCCCAACCUCGACCCGUGUCCGUUCUCCUCCGCACACCAUCCGCAUCGAUUUCGCCGUCGGUCACUCCGGUGACCUCCUCCUCCUCACGCCUCCGCGGUCGGCCACUCCGACGACCUCCUCCUCCUCAUGCCUCUGCGGCUCCGCCGUCGGUCAAUCCGGCGGCCCCUCCUCACGCCUCCGCCAUCGGCCACUCCGAGGUGAUUUUUCGUGUUCAUCCAAAAUUUUGGGGGAUUUUUAUUUGCUAGUUCCAGUGCUUGUUGAUUAGCUAGUUCUAGUGCUUGUUGAUUAGCUAGUUAUAAAUCUUGUUUCCUUGAGCGAAAAGCAUGAUAGAUUUUCUUGCUUUAGUUGGGAUGCAUUUACUUGUUGCAUUUUUUCGUGCAUUGCAUAUAUUUAGAGGCAUACAAAAUUAACAAUUAUUUAAAAUGAAUGUACAAACAAGCAAGUGGUGAAAGAAAGAGUUUUCUCACAUUGUAAUAUGCUUUGAGAUUUGACACCAAGCCAUCAAACUUUUUGACAUAGAUCGACACAAUCAUGUUGAAGCAUUCAAAAUUACCAAAAAGAUCAUAAGAAUGUUCAAAAAAGAAAGUUGUGAAAUAAAAUAAUUCUUACCAUGUGAUCUACUUUGAGGUAUGAUAAGUGAGCCCUCGGCAUCUGACUUAGAUCCAGUCAUCGUCUUGAAGUAUACAAAAAAUUGAAAAAUGUUUAUAAGAAUAUUAAAACAGGAAAGUGGUGAAGGAAAAUGUUUCGUGACCGUGUGAUCUACUUUGAGAUCUGACUCCCAAGCCCUCGGGCUUUUUGACAUAGAUUGGGUCAUCAUCUUCCACAUCAACGAUGGAUUGAUCUUCAUUUGUUGUGGUGUUUAUGUGCAUGGUCCAUCCUUCAGCACAACCCGCUAGUUCUAGUGCUUGUUGAUUAGCUAGUUCUACUGCUUGUUGAUAAGCUAGUUCUAGUAUUAGAAAUUUUGAGGGAUUUUUAUUAGCUUCUUCUAUUGCUAGUUUAUUAGUUAUAUUGCUAGUUUAUUAGUUCUAUUGCUAGUUUAUUAGCUUAUUAAAUAGUAGGAAUUUAAAUAGUUGUACAAUUUGUUCUCGACGUCGACUAUGCCCGGCUCGCAUCCUAGUCGUCGACUUCGUGGUGACCACCUGCUUGAUAGGCGCCGGCAUGUGCGGGACUGGGCUUCAUCGGGAUGGCACUGGGAGGAGUUACCUUCCGGGGCGCGCAGCUUGGUGAGGAACCGGACUCCCGUCGUUGACCCGGAGCUUCUUUGAUGGCGGUCGCUGAUGUCUACUUGGCAACCUUCUCCUUGUAGACGUUCUUGGGCCUCCAAGUGCAGAGGGUUGUAGGACAGUAGCAAUUUUCUCUCAAGUGGGUGACCUAAGGUUUAUCAAUCCGCGGGAGGCGUAGGAUGAAGAUGGUCUCUCUCAAGCAACCCUGCAACCAAAUAACAAAGAGUCUCUUGUGUCCCCAACACACCCAAUACAAUGGUAAAUUGUAUAGGUGCACUAGUUCAGCGAAGAGAUGGUGAAACAAGUGCAAUAUGGAUGGUAGAUAUAGGUUUUUGUAAUCUGAAAUUACAAAAACAGCAAGGUAACAAGUAACAAAAGUGAGCACGAACGGUAGUGCAAUGCGUGGAAACAAGGCCUAGGGUUCAUACUUUCACUAGUGAAGUUCUCUCAACAAUGAUAACUUAAUUGGAUCAUAUAACUAGCCCUCAACAUGCAACAAAGAGUCACUCCAAAGUCACUAAUAGCGGGGAACAAACGAAGAGAUUAUUGUCGGGUACGAAACCACCACAAAGUUAUUCUUUCUGAUCGAUCUAUCAUAGAGUUCGUACUAGAAUAACACCUUAAGAUACAUAUCAACCAAGACCCUAAUGUCACCUAGAUACUCCAUUGUCACCUCAAGUAUCCGUGGGUAUUAUUAUACGAUAUGCAUCACACAAUCUCAGAAUCAUAUAUUCAACCAACACAUAGAACUUCAAAGAGUGCCCCAAAGUUUCUACCACAGAGUCAAAACGCGUGCCAACCCCUGUGCAUAGGUUCCCAAUGUCACGAACCCACAAGUUGAUUACCAAAACAUACAUCAAGUACUCACAUGAAUCCACGUGUGCCAACCCAUAUGCAUAGGUUCCCAAUUGUCACAAACCCGCAAGUUGAUCACAACAGAUAGACACGUGCAAGACAUACAUCAAGUGUUCUCAAAGACUCAAUCCGAUAAGAUAACUCCAAAGGGGAAACUCAAUUCAUUACAAGAAGGAGAGGGGGAAGGAACAUCAUAAGAUCCAACUAUAGUAGCAAAGCCCACGGUACAUCGAGAUCAGGACAUCUCAAGAACACGAGAGAGAGAGAGAUCAAACACAUAGCUACUGGUACAUACCCUCAGCCCCGAGGGAGAACUACUCCCUCCUCGUCAUGGAGAUCGCCGGGAUGAUGAAGAUGGCCACCGGAGAUGGAUUCCCGCUCUGGCAAGGUGCCGGAACGGGGUCUAGAUUGGUUUUUGGUGGCUACAGAGGCUUGCGGCGGCGGAACUCCCGAUCUACGUUUCUUUCUCUAAGUGUUUGAAUUUAUAGGAAUUUAUGGCGGUGGAAUUACGUCGGUUGGGCCCACGAGGAGGUCACAAGCCUGCCCUGCGCCACCUGGGGGGGGUGGUGGCGGCGUCAGGGCUUGUGACUCCCUCGUGGCUCUUCUGGCCUUCUUCCAAAGCUUCGGGGGUCUCUUUUGGUCCAAAAAAAUCAUCGUAAAGUUUCAUUCCAUUUGGACUCCGUCUGAAAAUGGGCCAAAAACACGGAAAAAAUAGAAACUGGCACUUGGCACUGAGUUAAUAGGUUGGUCCCAAAAAAGAUAUAAAAUAGCAUAUUCAUGCAUAUAAAACAUCCAAAGUUGACAAGAUAAUAGCAUGGAACCAUCAAAAAUUAUAGAUACGUUGGAGACGUAUCAAGCAUCCCCAAGCUUAACUCCUACUCGUCCUCGAGUAGGGAAGUGAUAAAGAAUGAAUUUUUAAUGUUGCAUGCUACCUAGCAUAGUUGUCCUUUGUAACUUCUCUCGCGUGACAUGAAUGUUCAGAUCCGUUAGAUUCAAAACAAUAGUUUGCUAUUGAUGUGGAGACAAUACUACUUCCAGCAAACUAGCAAGGUAAUCAUGAACUUUCAAAAUAACAAGGCCAAAAGAAAGUUAUCCCUACAAAAUCAUAUAGUCUGGCUAUGCUCUAUCAUCCCUGCAUAACGAAUUUAAAUCAUGCACAACCUCGGUAUUGGCCAAGUAAUUGAUUUCACGCCUUUACUUUCUCAAACUUUUCAACUCUCACGCAAUACAUGAGCGUGAGCCAUGGUUUUGGCACUAUAAGUGGUGUGGACUGUGGUGGAGGUUGCAAGACAAAAAGGAGAAUAUGAUCACAUUAACUAGGCAUAUCAAUAAGCUGUGGAGAUGCUCAUCAAUAGAUAUCAAUGUAAAUGAGUAGGGAUUGCCAUACAAAAGCUCCACUAGAGCUAAGAGUAUGUGAAAGCUCUUAAAGAAAACUAGUGCGUGUGCAUCCAACUUGCUUGCUCACGAAGACCUAAGGCAAUUUUGAGGAAGCCUAUCAUUGGAAUAUACAAGCCAAGUUAUAUAAUGAAAAUUUCCCACUAGCUAUAUGGUGGUGACAAAACGAGAGACUCUCAAUCAUGAAGAUCAUGGUGCUUAAUAUGCACAAGUGUGGAAAAGUAGUAGCAUUGUCCCUUCUCUCUUUUUCUCUUCAUUUUUUUGUGGGCUCUUUGGCCUCUUAUUUAUUUAUUUAUUUAUUUUGGUGGGCAUCUUUGGCCUCUUUUUGUAUAUGGGCUUCGCUGGCCUCUUUUAUUUCCUCACAUGGGACAAUGCCCAUCAAUGAUGAUCAUCACACUUACAACUCAAAACUUAGAGCAAUCAUGACUCUAUAUGGAAUGCCUUCGGUAGUCUACCGUGACAAUGAUCUAGCAUGCCGUAGACAUUAAUGGAAACAUCAUGCUAGCUAUCUUACGAUCAUGCAAUGGCAAUGUAGACGUGGUGGCACAUGUCAUGGUGGUAGUUGCAUGGCAAUAUAUCUUGAAAUGACUUUGAAAAAGCCAUAGUAGGUAGGUAUGGUGGCGGUUUUGAGGGAGGCUAAUGGUGGGUUUUGUGCACCGGCUAAAGUUGCACGGCACUAAGAAGAUAGUGAUGGUGGAAGGUGAAAGUGCAUCUAAACCAUGGACUCAACAUUAGUCAUGAAGAACUCAUAUACUUGUUGCAAAAGUUUUAUUAGUAAUCGAAACAAAGCAUUCAACGCAUACUCCUAGGGGAAGGGUUGGUAGGUAUAAACCAUCGCGCGAUCCCGACCGCCACACAAAGGAUGACAAUCAAUAGACUAAUCAUCCUCAGACUUCAUCACAUAGCGGUUCACCAUACGUGCAUGCUACGGGAAUUACUAACUUCAACAAAAGUAUUUCUAGAUCCACAACACCUUACUAGCAUGACUUCAAUAUUACCAAAACCACAACUCAAAACUAAUUGAGAUGAAUCAAACUUCUCUAACUAUUCAAUGCAUAUGAAGGUGGAAGUUUUUGUAUCCCUUUGGAUAACUACCCCUUUUGAGACUACUUUCAAAGCAUAGAUCAACUACCAAGCCACACACCGCUGCGCUGUAAAAUAUAUAAGUGAAGCACAUAGAGCAAAAGUAUCUAGCUCAAAAGAUAUAAGUGAAGCACAUGUGAGCUGAAUUGUCUACCAAAGGAUAUAAGUGAAGCUCGACAAAAUCAUGGUGAGUGCAUGUCUCUCUCUCUCUAGGUGUGCAGCAAGGAUGAUUGUGACACGACAAAAAAUAAAAGACUCCUACGAUACAAGACGCUCCAAGCAAAACACAUAACAUGUGGUGAAUAAAAAUAUAGCACCAAGUAACGUUACCGAUGGAUUGAAGACGAAAGAGGGGAUGCCUUCCCGGGGCAUCCCCAAGCUUAGGCUUUUACGACAUCCUUGAAUCUCUUGGGGUGCCUUGGGCAUCCCCAAUCUUGAGCUAUUGCCACUCUUUAUCUCUUUGUCCAUAAGAACUUCACCCAAAACUUGAAAACUUCACAACACGAAACUUAAACAGAAACUCGUGAUAACAUUAGUAUAAGAAAGCAAACCACCACUUCCUUAGGUACUGUAGCAAACUUAAAUUCUACUUAUGUUGGUGUUGGGUUGCUGUAUUUUCACUUUUCCAUGGCUAGUACCCUCCGAUACUAUCCAUAGUUUCAUCAAAAUAAGCAACCAACUCAACAAAAACAGAAUCUGUUAAAUGCAGACCAGUCUGUAGCAAUCUGUAUACUUCUUAUACUUCUCGUACUUCAAAACAUCUGAAAAAUUACGACAGUCUGAAUAAAUUGCAGAGAAAUAAGCAGAAAAAAGAAUAAACUAAAAAUCUCUUACGGAAUAAAAAUGAAAAUUCUUUUCGUGAGAAGAAAGUUUCUGUCUUUUUCCAGCAUGAUCAAACAAUCAUCACCAAGACUAAUCAUAACGGUUUUGCUUGGCACAAACACAAAAAGAAACAAAAAAUACACAAUCAUAACAGAAUUAUUAUGGUCUGGAUAAAACAAAACAGGAAGAAAAAAUCAAAGAAAAAUUUAUUCAUUGGGUUGCCUCCCAACAAGCGCUAUCGUUUAACGCCCUUAGCUAGGCAUUGAUUUCAAUGAUGCUCACAUAAAAGGUAAGGAUUGAAACACAACGAGAGAAUCAUGGAGCAAAUGGCUAGCACAUUUAAGUUUAACCCACUUCCUAUGCAUAGGGAUUUUGUGAUCAAACAAUUUAUUGGAGCAAGAAUCAACUAGCAUAGGAAGGCAAAACAAGCAUAGCUUCAAAAAUUUCAACAUAUGGAGAGGAAGGUUGAUACUAUUGCAAUAAGUAGAAGCAUAUGAUCCUCUCUCAUAGUAAUUUUCAGUAGUGUCAUGAAUGAAUUCAACAAUAUAACCAGCACCUAAGGCUUUCUUUUCAUGAUCUACAAGCAUAGAAAUUUUACUACUCUCCACAUAAGGAUAUCUAUUCUCAAGAAUAGUAGUGGGAGUAUCGUAAAAGACUUGAGCACUACAAAUUGUAUCCACAAUAAAAAAGCAAGGUUUAGCAAAGGGGUUCUCGAGAGUAUGACAAGUUCUAUCAUCCAUCUUCUUCAAAGCAUAAGUAUCCUCACAAUAACCAUCAUAGAUAGGGGGCAUGCUUUCAUCAAAAUGAUUUUAAUCAUUCAAAGUGGAAGAACUAAAAAGAUCAUCUUCAUCAAAUAUAGCAUCCCCAAGCUUGUGGCUUUGCAUAUCAUUAGCAUCAUGGGUGUUCAAAAAAUUCAUGCUAAAAACAUUGCAAUCAUGCUCAUCAUUCACAUAUUCUAUGCCAAGCAUUCUAUGUAAUUCUUCUUUCAGCACUUGAGCACAAUUUUCCUUACCAUCAUGCUCACGAAAGACAUUGAAAAGAUGGAGCAUAUGAGGCAUCCUCAAUUCCUUUUUUUUUUAGUUUUCUAGCGAAAGAACAAGAAACAAAAAGAUUCGAUUGCAAGAUCUAAAGAUAUACCUUCAAGCGCUAACCUCCCCGGCAAUGGCGCCAGAAAAGAGCUUCAUGUCUACUACGCAACCUUCUCCUUGUAGACGUUGUUGGGCCUCCAAGUGCAGAGGGUUGUAGGACAGUAGCAAUUUUCCCUCAAGUGGGUGACCUAAGGUUUAUCAAUCCACGGGAGGAGUAGGAUGAAGAUGGUCUCUCUCAAGCAACCCUCCAACCAAAUAACAAAGAGUCUCUUGUGUCCCCAACACACCCAAUACAAUGGUAAAUUGUAUAGGUGCACUAGUUCGGCGAAGAGAUGGUGAAACAAGUGCAAUAUGGAUGGUAGAUACAGGUUUUUGUAAUCUGAUAUUACAAAAACAGCAAGGUAACAAGUAACAAAAGUGAGCACGAACGGUAUUGCAAUGCGUGGAAACAAGCCUAGGGUUCAUACUUUCACUAGUGAAGUUCUCUCAACAAUGAUAACACAAUUGGAUUAUAUAACUAGCCCUCAACAUGCAGCAAAGAGUCACUCCAAAGUCAGUAAUAGCGGGGAAUAAACGAAGAGAUUAUUGUCGGGUACGAAACCACCACAAAGUUAUUCUUUUUGAUCGAUCUAUCAUAGAGUUCGUACUAGAAUAACACCUUAAGAUGCAUAUCAACCAAGACCCUAAUGUCACCUAGAUACUCCAUUGUGACCUCAAGUAUCCGUGGGUAUGAUUAUACGAUAUGCAUCACACAAUCUCAGAAUCAUCUAUUCAACCAACACAUAGAACUUCAAAGAGUGCCCCAAAGUUUCUACCAGAGAGUCAAAACGUGUGCCAACCCCUGUGCAUAGGUUCCCAUUGUCACGAACCCGCAAGUUGACGAGGGAGAAUUCGACGGCUCCGUCAAGGUGCAUUCGGAGCUCGUAUGCGAAAGUUAUGGCUGUUUCAGUGGCGAGCGGUAGUACCGCUGGACCUAGCGGUAGUACCGCUGGCCCUGGCGGUAGUACCGCCCCUGGCCAGCGGUAGUACCGCUCCAAGUUUUUAGUACCGUCAUCUUUGCGGUUGUACUGCGUCGGACAUUUUUCCGAAGACUUUCUUGGCGGUGGUUGGCCCGGUAGUAUCUUUGCGCUACCAUGGGCUCAACGGUAGUACCACUGCAGCCAGCGGUAGUACCGCCGGAGGGUCAGCGGUAGUACCGCUGGAGCCAGCGGUAGUACCGCUGGGCUCGGGCUGUAAGUGGGGGUAACGGUCUGAUUCCUUCCCCCACUAUAUAAAGGGGGUCUUCUCCCCCCUUGGCCUUAUCUAUCUGUUGAGCUCUUGUUCUACCUCCAUUGUUGACAUUCUUAGAGCUUGCUUACUCUCAAUCCCUCAAAUGAUUCUUGCUUGUUCUUGAGGGAAAACAGAGAGGAGAUCUAGAUCCACAUCUCCACCAAUCACUUUCUCCUCUAUGUGAGGGGAACCCCUUGGAUCUAGAUCUUGGAGUUCUUUGUGAGCUCCUUAUUCUUCCUCUCAUAUUUCUUCAUAGCUUUCGUUGCUGUGGAGGGAUUUGAGUAUGAGGGACUUGACCACUUCGUGUGUUCUUGCCAUUGCAUUGGUUGCAUCGGUUUGAGUUCUCCACGGUGAUACGUGGAAGUGAAGUUUGAGAAGCUUAUUACCUUUGGUACUUAGUACCCUAGAUAUUGUUCUUCGUGGAUGCUUUGGCGUCCUAGAAGCUUGGUGGUGUCUCGGAGCUCAAUCAUUGUGGUGUGAAGCUCCGGGCAAGGGUCGGGGUCUCCAAUUAGGUUGUGGAGAUUGCCCCGAGCAAUUUGUAUGGGUACCGGUAACCGCCCCCAAGGGUUGCCACGUGUACGGGUUUAGUGACCGCCCUCAAGGGUCCCUUGGUGGAAUCACGGCAUCUUGCAUUGUGCGAGGGAGUGAGGAGAUUACGGUGGCCUUAGUGGCAUCUUGGGGAGCAUUGUGCCUCCACACCGCUCCAACGGAGAUUAGCAUCCGCAAGGGUGUGAACUUCGGGAUACAUCAUCGUCUCCGCGUACCUCGGUUAUCUCUUACCCGAACCCUUUACUUAUGCACUUUACUUUGUGAUAGCCAUAUUGUCUCUUGUCAUAUAUCUUGCUAUCACUUAGUUGUUUAUCUUGCUUAGCAUAAGUUGUUGGUGCACAUAGGUGAGCCUAGUUGUUUGAGGUUUUGUGCUUGACAUAUUGAACGUUAGUUUUAUUCCGCAUUUGUUCAAGCCUAAACCUUAAUUAUUUUAAAACGCCUAUUCACCCCCCCCUCUAGGCGACAUCCACGUCCUUUCAGUGUUCCAGUUGACAGAGGGCUUCUUUGGAGCAGGCUUCUUGAACGAGCGCUUGGGGGCAUUGGAGCCUUCAGACGGAUCAGAGGAAGGUCGCUUGGAGCUGGCAGUGCGAGACGGGUUGGAACGACGGGAACCACCACCUGUGAUACGCAAAAUAGCACACAAAACACAAAAGAAGGGAGAAACAAGUCAAGGCAAUGAAGAAGAGAGACCCAAAACAUCAUAAAACACAAUAGAUCAGUGGAUGUGCACAAAGGGGAGCGGUAGUACCGCAGGUGGAGCGGUAGUAAAAUUUUACUACCGCUCCGGGAGCGGUUGUAAAUUUUUACUACCGCUCUACAAGCGGUAGUACCGCUCCUCGAGCGGUAGUACCGCACGGGACGGCCUAAUCUCAGAUCAAAUCAAUUUUGACAUGGAAAAAACUAGUGAAGUUGACAUGGAUCCUAACCAGGCCUAGGCACACACACACCUAAGCAAAAAAAUCAUAUUACCCAAAAAGCUACCAUGAACUCCCAAUCACGAUGCCAUGAGUCCAUAUGCCCUAUCCCUAGAAGGAAUCAACGAACAAAGCAUAAGAUUGCAGAUGAGGGGCAGUACCGGAGUCCAUGGCGCGUGGGGAAGAGUCCCACCGGUCGGAAUCGGAGGACGAUGGCCGGAUAGGGAGAUCCGGCGAUGCCCUAGGGUAGUUUUUGAGGAGAGGAGAGAGAGAAACAGAGAAGAACUCGGGGCAGAUGGGGAAAAAGAACGGCCUCCUGGCCCUUUAAAUAGUCCCCUGGGCGAGGCGGCACGGUAGUACCGCAGUCAUCGCGGUAGUACCGCUCUACGUGCGGUAGUACCGCGCCCACAUCGGUAGUAAAAAAUUAGUACCGUGCUGGGGGUGGUAGUACCGCUCCCCCAGCGGUAGUAAAAUUUUACUACCGUGCUGGGGGCGGUAGUACCGGGCAUGAAGUCAUGAAAAUGGCCAAAAGAGCUCUCUACUCCUUAGGUGGUGAAAAAACUUGAUCAAGCCAAGAGAAACCAAAACACGAAAAACAAGAGGGACACACCGAAGAGAGAGAAACAACACAGAGACUCCAGGGGAGAGGGCGGUGGCCUAGGCCACCAAUGUUUGAGACAAAUGGUAUGACACCGCGAAGAAUUAUCCUUGGGUUCAUGACCAUAUCUCAUCUUUGAAGCACAAGUGCCAUUUGGUGAUGGCCAAAGUGAAAGACUUUACCGAUUUAUGCAUAAUGGGGGAGGGAAAGUUCAUUGAGAGAACAACACUCCCCCUAUGUCCAUGCCUACAUCUAGCGCAAGAUGUAAUGUAGAGUGAGGUGCAGAGUGCCUAGUUUCAAUCCACAUUACUUGAAUCAAUGAUAUUUAGCUCAUGCCUUAACUCCCGGAACCUUGCUUCAUCUAGGGGCUUAGUGAAAAUAUCUGCAAGUUGCUCUUCAGUGUUGGUGAAGUGAAUCUCAAUAUAGCCUAGCUUGAUAUGUUCACGAAUGAAGUAAUGACGAAUAUCAAUGCGCUUGGUCUUGCUGUGUUGAACUGGAUUGAGAGAAAUCUUGAUAGCACUUUGAUUGUCACAUAGGAGAGGUACUUUGUCAUAGGUGACACCGUAGUCCUUUAAAGUUUGCCUCAUCCAUAGUAACUGGGCACAACAACUUGCAGCUGCUACAUACUCAGCUUUGGUGGAGGAUAGUGAUACACAGUUCUGCUUCUUGGAAGACCAACUUACUAGUGAACAACCAAGGAAUUGGCAUCCUCCAUAGGUUGACUUCCUAUCCACACAGUCACCUGCCCAAUCUGAGUCAUAAUAGCCUACUAGGUUAAAGUUUGCUCCUUUGGGAUACCAUAGACCAAAGUUUGGGGUAUGAGCCAAAUAUCGAAAGAUUCGUUUGACAGCCAUGUAAUGACUCUCCUUUGGUGCAGAUUGAAACCGUGCACAAAUCCCUACACUCAACAUGAUAUCAGGUCUAGAUGCACAAAGAUAAAGGAGGGAUCCAAUCAUGGAGCGAUAUACCUUUUGAUCCACUGCUUUACCAUUGGGAUCACUGUCAAGCUUACAUCGUGUUGGCAUGGGAAACUUGACCGGCUUGACAUCCUCUAGCUCAAACCUUUUGAGCAUGUCUUGAGUCUACUUGGCUUGUUUAAUGGAAGUCCCUUCUAAGCGUUGUUUGAUCUCGAACCCGAGGAAGAACUUCAACUCACCCAUCAUCGACGUCUCAAAUUUCUCGGUCAUCAGUGCAACAAAUUCUUCAUUGAAAGAUUCGUUAGGAGAACCAAAAAUGCUGUCAUCAACAUAUAGUUGGCAUAUGAACAAAUCCCCUUUGACCCUCUUAGUAAAAAGAGUGGGAUCAAUCUUCCCAAUUUCAAACCCACGAUCUUGUAAUAACUCAGUAAGAUACUCAUACCACGCACGUGGGGCUUGUUUAAGGCCAUAGAGUGCCUUAUUAAGUUUGUACACAUGAUUGGGGAGCUUGGGAUGUUCGAACCCCGGGGGUUGUUUGACAUAUACCAACUCAUUUAAAGGACCAUUAAGAAAAGCACUUUUCACAUCCAUUUGUUGUAAUUUGAAAUUAUGAUGAGAAGCAAAUGCAAGCAUCAUGCGAAUAGAUUCUAAACGAGCAACAGGGGCAAAUGUUUCACCGUAGUCGAUACCCUCGACUUGGGAGUAGCCUUGAGCCACCAAUCUUGCCUUGUUUCAAAUCACAAUCCCAUUGGCAUCUUUCUUGUUCUUGAAGAUCCAUUUGGUCCUGAUGACAUUAUGUUCCUCCAUUGGCCUUGGCACUAAAUCCCAGACUUGAUUGCGCUCGAAAUUGUUGAGUUCUUCAUGCAUGGCCAUAAGCCAAUCCUCAUCAUCGAGCGCUUCCUGUACCUGUUGAGGUUCAAAAUAUGAAACAAACGCGUGAUGCUCAUAAUAAUUCCAAAUUUGUUGACGAGUGGAUACUCCCUUUUUCAAACUACCAAGUACAUUCUUCAUAAGAUGUGACUUGACUCUCAGCUUGUUCGCAAUCUUGGCUGCGCGACGCUCCAAGAGUUCUUCAUUGGAUAACUGGGGAAUAUCGACUUGAUUGCUUUGUGUGCCCUUGCGUUUUGAUCUUCCCUUGGCACCAGUACCCCGUUUAGGCGCCGCAGAAGGGAAUUGUGAGACAGCAUCCUGAUCAACUUGAUCUUCGUCUUGAGCAGGUUCACUACUUUGUCCUUGUUCUUGUGGUUGCUCUUGAUCUUGAUCUUGUGCUUCUAUUUGGUCCGGAUCAUGUGGUUGCACUUGAUCUUGAUCUUGAGCCGGUUCGGAACCUUGGGUGAGUGCUUGUACUUCAUGGGGCACAUCACCAUCUUUAGGCACUUGGUCUUGAUCUUGAGUUUGUUCAAAUUGUUGAGGGUCUUCUCUUUGUUCAUCGGAAGCGUGUGGGACUUGUGAGGAUGAUGGCUCCACUUGAGUAGAGCAUUGUCCUUCUCCUUCGGCCACAAGGGGUUCCUCAAUGGGGAGUAUUUGACCAAUCCCCAUUCUUCUUAUGGCUUGGGGAGGAAUUUCAUCACCUACAUCACAUAGACCACUUUGCUCCACUUGGGAGCCAUUAUUUUCAUCAAACUCCACGUUACACAUCUCCUCAAUGAGUCCAGUGGACUUGUUGAGGACACGGUAAGCAUGAGAGUUUGUAGCAUAACCAACAAAGAUGCCCUCAUGUGCUCUAGAAUCAAAUUUAGCUAAACGUGCACCUUUUAUUGAGAAUGAAACACUUACACCCGAAUACCCGGAAGUACUUGAGAUUGGGUUUGUUUCCGGUGAGAAUCUCAUAUGGGGUCUUGUUCAAGCCUUUGCGGAUAUAGAGCCGAUUUGACGCAUGACAUGCUGUGUUGAUGGCUUCGGCCCAAAAGUUAUAUGGAGAUUUGUAUUCCGCCAUCAUAGUUCUUGCAGCUUCUAUCAGUGUUCGGUUCUUCCUUUCCGCCACACCAUUUUGUUGAGGCCUAUAUGGUGCCGAAUAUUGAUGUUUUAUUCCCUCAUCACCUGGAAACUCAUCCAAGGUGUAGUUCUUGAGCUCGGUGCCGUUGUCACUUCUGAUCAUCAAAAUCUUUGCUUCAUGUUGACGUUGAGCUUCAUUAGCAAAGUUGAUAACAGUCUGUUGAGUCCCACUCUUCCUCUUGAAGAAAUAUACCCAAGUGUAUCUUGAGUAAUCAUCAACAAUCACCAAGCAGUACUUUCUGCCCCCAAGACUAUCAAAUGAUAGAGGACUGAAGAGAUCCAUAUGAAGGAGCUCCAACGGUCUCUUAGUGUAAAUGAGGGUCGUUGGACGAUGAGCAGUCUCAUGGAUUUUUCCUUCAAUGCAGGCACUGCAAGCACGAUCUUUGGCAAAACUCACAUUUGUUAGUCCACGAAUAUGGUCCCCUUUGAGGAGACUUUGCAAAGAUCUCAUAUUGACAUGGGCUAGUCGGCGAUGCCAAAGCCAGCCCACAUCAACUUUAGCCAUUAGACAUGUCGCAGUCUUAGUGGGUCGCUUUGAAAAGUUCACCACAUAGAGACCAUUUUCGACAUGUCCAACAUAGGCUACUUUAAGAGUCUUGCUCCACAAAAGGACCACAGUAUCAAGAUUAAAGAAUGUGGAGAAGCCCAUGAUUGCAAGUUGUAACCGAAAGUAAAUUAUAAGCAAGGGACUCAACAAGCAUGACCUUCUCAAUAGAUAACUCUUGAGAGAUGACCACCUUACCAAAUCCCAAUACCUUUGACAAUGAUGCAUCGACGAAUUAGACAUGGGUGGGCAUAGAUGGAGAAGGAUGCACAUCCACCACUAAGUCCUUGCUUCCGGUCAUAUGAUUUGUUGCUCCACUAUCGAGCAACCAUGACACCCCUCCGGAAGCAAACUCCUGCAAAGGAUCAAGGCUUGGUUUUAGGUACCCAUUUUUGAAUGGGUCCUUUAACGUUAGAGACAAGGGUCUUAGGAACCCAAAUAGCACAUUCAAUGUAUUCAUAGUAAGAACCAAUAAAUCUGGCAUAAACAUGCCCAUCACCAGCACGACAUAAAACAUAGGAAGGAUUUAGUUUGCCGUCCGUGUUGGUAGGAAUGGUUUUGCCCUUCUUGAUGCUCCCAUUUUCCACCUUGUUCCUGUUCUCCUCCUGAGUCCCUUCGCCCUCUUUGACAAAGAUGUCCAUGAGGGUGGGGGAUCUGUUGUUCCUGUUCUUUCUUUUUCUCUUAGACUUAGAUGUAAGUCCAAGCCCCUCCUUUCCUACCACACCCUUUUGAUUGCUCAAAAGGUCGUUCAGGCUCUUCUUGCCUUCGAUGCAUGAUACAAGGCCUUUCUCAAGUUUAGCCUUCAACUUGGCAUUUUCCUCCACUAGAUGUACAUGCUCACAACAAGGGUUAGUUGUACAAGCAUUAUCAAUUAAAACAAAAGGAGGACAAGUAGAGAUUUCCUUGGUAAGCUUAGCUUGAAGUUGAUCAUGAGACUCUUUUAGGGAGAAAUGACUACCUUUCAAGGCCUUGUGAGCCUUGUCAAGUGUGUCAAACUCCAUUUUGAGUCUGUCAUGGUCAACCCCAAGAGCAUCCUUUUCAGACUUAAGCAUACGAGUAAGAACAGUAGCAUGAUCUAGUUUCUUUUGCAAUUUAGCGCAGUCAUCGUUGUAUGACUCCUCAGGAGCCAAACGAAGAGUGCGCUCUGUUUCUAAAGCAAUAGAAAGUUCAGCAAUCUCAUCGACAUAGUCAUGACUAUGACCUUGCAUCUCGGAGAUGGUAUCCUCAUGAGACUCGUUGAGGUCAUUAGCCUCACCCAAUUGUUCCAAAAGGGCAACAAAGUGCCUCUUAGUUUCUCCUUUGAUAGUACACAGAAAUUUGUCAAGAUCAUGCUCAUUAAGUUCUGCAACAUCACUAUCAUCAACACAGUUCAACAAUGAGGGAGCACUAGUGAUGUUGGUCUUAAUGUUGGGUGUUACCUCAGUGAUCCCUUUCGCCAUGAGGCACUUGGCGAUGUGAUUAUCGUUGGGGGCGUUGAAGAGGGACACCUUCUUGGAAGAAGGAGUGGCAAUGGCGACAGUCGCAGUUGCCACCAUAUCAUCAUCAUCAUCAUCAUCGGAGGGGUACUCUUCAAGUGCCACCAUACCCUUUGGAUGGGGUUUCUUGACAAAGUUGUUCUUGCUUGGGAAUGGCUUUGUUUUGUCCUUGCGAAUGAGCUUGCCUCCGUUGUCUUCCCUCUUCUCAUAAGGACAUUUCGCCACGAAAUGGCUCACAUUACCACAGUUAUAGCAUGUCCUCACUCGUUGCUUGGGUUUGAACCCACUUGAGUUGUUCUUGGUGAAGUUGGGUCUUGAGUUCCUCUUGUUGCCCCAGAAUUGCCUAGACGCAAGAGCCAUGUGCUCGUGAUAAGCAUACUUAGUGUAUUCACGGCAGCUCUCUUCUUCUUCAUCCUCCUCUUCUUCUUCAGAAGCAGCCUUUGCCUUUAAAGCAAGGUUAGGUGAAGCUGUCUUUGACCGAACUCAAGCAAGUGCAUUGUCAGCGGUCUCGUUCAUGAUUGACAUUGCAAUGAAUUCAUCCAACACCUCACUGGAAGACAACGAGUGAAAAUCUGGUCGUUGGCGAAUGACUGAUGACAUGGCUUUGUUGAAAGGCAUGAUGGCCUUAAGAAACUUGCGCUUGACCCAUGUGUCAUCCACAUCCUUGCUCCCAUGAUCCUUGAGAGCAACAGCAAUAGCAGUCACCCUCUGAUAGACAUCACGAGGGUCCUCAUCUUCCUUCAUUACAAACUCAUCAACCUGAUCAAGUAUUACUUCAUAGUUUGACCGUUGAAUACUAGAGCAUCCCUUGUAUAGAACCAUAAUGUGCUCCCAAUAGUCCUUGGCCAGAGAGAAGGGGCGCAAGUGAGGAAGAUCUUCAGGCGGUACUGCGGACUGUAAGAUGAACAAUGCGGAGUGAUUAUAUUGAUUGUCCGCUUCUUCUCUUGGAGUGAGGUUUCUUGGGUCAUGAAGAUAGAAGCCUUGCUCGAUGAUUCUCCACAAGUUUGUUGAGCUGUGACUCAAAUGAGACUUAAUAGAAAACACCCAGGUAGCAAAAUCACCCUUAACAAGCUUAGGAGGAGGACCAACAGGAUUAAGAUGCGGUGUGGGAACGGGUCCUCCAUAGACCAUGGGAGGUGGAACUGAGGCAUAGGUUCCAGUCCCAUCCUUUUCGUGAUAUGAGGAAGGUCGCAUACCUUUAGCCGCUUCCUUAGAGGAAUUGGCCUCCGAAUCGGUGAUGGUGGGUUUAACCACUAACGCCGGUUCGGGUGGACUUUUAAAUCCCUCAAUUAACUCUUUAAGCAUGGUCUUGACUUCGUUCGUUAAGGACGUCUUGAGGGCGGCCAUAGCCGUAUUCAAGUCGUCCCUUGUGACCGAAGUCAAGUCCACGGCCUCGGGUUGCCCAGGGGAACCUCCCUCUUCGCCUUCCACACUCUUCGGGUGGUGAAACCCUUAAUAAAGAGGCGAGGCUCUGAUACCAAUUGAAAGGAUCGAUAUGGUUGACUAGAGGGGGGUGAAUAGGCAACUACAAUUUUUAGCUUUUCUAAAUAAAUAUGGAGUAGCAAUCAUAAAGGUACACUAACAUGGCACUAGGAGAACAACCUAUAUGAUGCUACUUAGUAACGAGUAACGAAGCACGUAGGAGAUACUCUACAACACCAACAUAUACAAAGUAAAGGUAAGAGAUAACCACAAGUGGAACCGAUGAAGACGAGGAUGUGUUACCGAAGUUCCUUCCCUUUGACAGGAAGUACGUCUCCGUUGGAGCGGUGUGGAGGCACAAUGCUCCCCAAUAAGCCACUAGGGCCACCGUAUUCUCCUCACGCCCUCGCACAAUGCAAGGUACCGUGAUUCCACUAUAGGUGCUCUUGAAGGCGGCGACCGAACCUUUACAAACAAGGUUGGGGCAAUCUCCACACAAAGCUUGGAGGCUCCCAACAAGACCACGGAGCUUCACCAUAAUGUAAUGUGGCUCCGAGGUGACCUCAACCGUCUAGGGUGCUCAACCACCCAAGAGUAACAAGAUCCGCAAGGGAUUAGUAGGGGGAAUCAAAUAUCCUUUGGUGGAAGUGUCGAUCAAGGCCUUCUCAAGCAAUCCCUAGAAAAUCAACAAGGUUGAUUGGCUAGGGAGAGUGAUUGGGCUAAAAUGAGCUUGUGGAGCAACAAUGGAGCUUAGAGAGGUCAAAGGUAAGCUCAAGGAAGAAGGAGAUGCAUUUAUAUAGUGGGUGGGGCAGAUCCAACCGUUACCCACCUGCCACAUAAAUGCACGAGCGGUACUACCGCUUCCCAGAGCGGUACUACCGCUCAGCUCCUUACCAACCACGGUAGUACCGGGGGGUACUACCGCGCCACCUCCUCCGUAGGAAAGUAUGCGAGAAAAGGUCCGUCGGUGCGGUAGUAAAAUAAUACUACCGCACUGAGGGCGGUAGUACCGCUCCUGGAGCAGUAGUAAAAGUUUACUUCCACACCUGGGAUGGUAGUACCGCUCCUGGAGCGGUAGUAAAAAUUUACUACCGCUCUGAGAGCGGUACUACCGUUGUGCCAGCGGUACUACCGCUGGGACAGCGGUACUACUGCUUACCCCUUUUCACAUAGGCAGGAAAAAAACAAUGGUGCUCCAUUGAGGCUAAAAUAUGGGUGGGUGCAUGAGGUGUGUGCAUGAAGAUUCCACCCAAACCUUUCCGACGCGGACCCCCUCUUGGUACGAAGACUUUCCUAUGACUCAAACUAAGAAGAGAAAUGUAGAACAAAAUCCGUCUUCGAGAUCCUCCGAGGGGCGUCGAGUCAUCUUGUGCCUAAAGGAGAAUAUUCUGAAAUGCUCAGGACACAAGAUUAGUCCGCACAACAAUUGUCAUCAACCACUAAAACCACUUAGGAGAAAUAUGCCCUAACACCAUGCUUGACACUUCAUGUACCGGUUCUUUGAUGAAGAGAGAUAUUGACUUCAAAUGGAAUUUAUUGGAAAGAAUUAAACGCAACUAUGAACAUUGGGAGCUUGAUGAAGGUAAGGAGUGAGGUAUGAAUUUCAAGUUUGAUUGCGUUAAAUCCUUUGUUGAAACAAAUACUUUUUGUGAUUUUAGUGCUAAGUAUGGACUUGACUCUGAGAUAGUAGCAUCACUGUGUGAAUCAUUUGCUGCUCAUAUUGAUCUCCCCAAAGAGAAUUGGUUCAAAUAUCAUCCUCCCUUAGAAGUCAAUAUAGAUAAACCCAAUCCAGUUGAAGAGAAAGUCAUUGCCUAUAAUGAUCCUAUUGUUCCUAGUGUUUACAUUGAGAAACCACCUUUCCCUCUUAGGAUAAAGGAUCAUUUUAAAGCUUCAACUGUGCUACGUAGGGGCUACAUUAGAACACCUACACCCCUUGAGCAAAUUAGAAUUCAACCUGGCAUUGCUAUUAUCAAAGAUCUUCUGUCUGACAAUGUUGAGGGACAUGAUAUUCACUUCUGUGAAGGUGCUGCUAGAAUUGCUAAACCUCAUGCUAGAGAGAAACAUAGGCCUGUUGUUGGCACACCUGUUGUUUCUGUUAAGAUAGGAGAUCAUUGUUAUCAUGGCUUAUGUGACGUGGGUGCUAGUGUUAGUGCAAUACCUCAAUCCUUAUAUGAUGAAAUCAAAGAUGAGAUUGCACCUGUUGGGAUAGAACCCAUUGAUGUCACUAUCCAGCUUGCCAAUAGAGAUACUAUCUGCCCUGUGGGAAUUGUUAGGGAUGUUGAAGUCUUGUGUGGUAAAACGAAGUAUCCUGCUGAUUUCCUCGUUCUUGCUACCACCCAAGAUAUCUUUUGUCCCAUCAUAUUUGGCAGACCCUUCCUCAAUACCGUCAAUGCUCAUAUUUACCGUGAGAAGCAAACUGUCACUGUUGGCUUUGAAGGUGUGUCACAUGAGUUCAAUUUCUCCAAGUUUGGUAGACAACCCCAUGAAAAAGAGUUGCCUAGUAAGGAUAAAUCUAUUGCCCUCGCUUCUAUUGUCGUGCCUCCUACAGACCCUUUAGAGCAAUACCUGCUUGAGCAUGAAAAUGAUAUGCAUAUGGAUGAAAGGGAUGAGAUAGAUAGAGUUGUCUUAUAACAAUAUCCUAUCCUUCAGAAUAAUUUGCCUGUUGAACUACUUGGGGAUCCACCCCCACCAAAGGGUGAUCCUGUGUUCAAGCUUAAACAGUUGCCUGAUACUCUUAAGUAUGCUUAUCUUGAUGAAAAAGAGAUAUAUCCUGUUAUAAUUAGUGCUAGUCUCUCAGAGCAUGAAGAAAAGAAGUUACUAAAAACUCUAAGGAAGCACCGUGCUACUAUUGGAUAUACUCUUGAUGAUCUUAAGGGCAUUAGUCCCACUCUAUGCCAACACAAGAUUAAAACCGAUCCUGAUUCCAAACCAGUUGCUGAUCAUCAAAGGAGACUAAAUCCUAAGAUGAAAGAGGUAGUAAGAAAAGAAAUACUAAAGCUCCUAGAAGCAUGUAUUAUCUAUCCUGUUGCUCAUAGUGAUUGGGUGAGUCCGGUGCAUUGCGUCCCUAAGAAGGGAGGUAUUACCGUUGUCCCUAAUGAUAAUGAUGAAUUGAUCCCACAGAGGAUUAUUACUGGCUAUAGGAUGGUGAUCGAUUUUAGGAAAUUGAAUAAAGCCACUAGGAAAGAUCAUUACCGUUUGCCUUUUAUCGACCAAAUGCUAGAAAGAUUGUCUAAACACACACACUUCUGCUUUCUAGAUGGUUAUUCUGGGUUCUCCCAAAUUCCAGUUGCACAAUCUGAUCAGGGGAAAACCACUUUCACCUGCCCUUUCGGUACCUUUGCUUAUAGACGUAUGCCUUUUGGCUUAUGUAAUGCACCUGCUACCUUUCAAAGAUGUAUGAUGGCUAUAUUCUCUGACUUUUGUGAAAAGAUUGUUGUGGUUUUCAUGGAUGACUUCUCCGUUUAUGGGUCUUCUUUCGAUGAUUGCCUCAGCAACCUUGAUCGAGUCUUGGAGAGAUGUAAAGACACCAACCUUGUCUUGAAUUGGGAGAAGUGACACUUUAUGGUUAAUGAAGGCAUUGUCUUAGGACAUACAAUUUCUGAAAGAGGUAUUGAAGUCGAUAAGGCUAAAGUUGAUGCGAUCAAGAAAAUGCCAUGCCCCACAAAUAUCAAAGGUAUAAGAAGGUACCUUGGUCAUGCUGGUUUCUAUAGAAGGUUCAUUAAAGACUUCUCUAAGAUUUCUAGGCCUCUUACCAAUCUCUUGCAAAAGGAUAUUCCUUUUGUUUUUAACGAUGAUUGUGAGGAAGCCUUCGAAAUACUUAAGAAGGCCUUGAUAACCGCACCUAUUGUUCAACCACCUGAUUGGAACUUACCUUUUGAAAUCAUGUGUGAUGCUAGUGAUUAUGCUGUUGGUGCUGUCCUAGGGCAAAUAGUUGAUAAGAAGUUGAAUGUUAUUCACUAUGCUAGUAAAACUCUAGAUAGUGCCCAAAGAAACUAUGCUACUACUGAAAAGGAAUUUUUAGCAGUCGUGUUUGCAUGUGAAAAGUUCAGGUCUUACAUAGUUGAUUCCAAAGUCACUAUUCACACUGAUCAAGCUGCUAUUAAGUACCUCAUGGAGAAGAAAGACGCUAAACCUAGACUCAUCAGAUGGGUUCUCUUGCUACAAGAGUUUGAUUUGCAUGUUGUCGACAAGAAGGGUGCUGAUAACCCCGUAGCAGAUAACUUGUCUAGGAUGGAGAACGUUCUUGAUGACCCACAACCUAUUGAUGAUAGCUUUCCUGAUGAGCAAUUCAAUGUCAUCAAUACUUCUCGUAGUACAUCGUGGUAUGCUGAUUAUGCAAACUAUAUCGUUGCCAAAUAUAUACCACCUAGUUUCACAUACCAGCAAAAGAAGAAAUUCUUCUUUGAUUUAAGACAUUACUUUUGGGAUGAUCCUCACCUUUAUAAGGAAGGAGUAGAUGGUGUUAUUAGACGUUGUGUACCUGAAUAUGAACAGAGACAAAUCCUACAGAAGUGUCACUCUGAGGCCUACGGAGGACACCAUGCGGGAGGUAGACCUACACACAAGGUAUUCAAUCAGGUUUCUAUUGGCCCACUCUCUUCAAGCAUGCCCGCAAGUUUGUCUUGUCUUGUGACGAAUGUCAAAGAAUAGGUAAUAUCGGUAAACAUUAGGAAAUGUCUAUGAAUUAUUCACUUGUCAUUGAACCAUUUGAUGUUUGGGGCUUUGAUUAUAUGGGACCUUUUCCAAAAUCCAACGAGUAUACUCAUAUCCUAGUUGUUGUUGAUUACGUCACUAAGUGGGUAGAAGCUAUCCCAACUAGUAGUGCUGAUCACAACACCUCUAUCAGGAUGCUUAAAGAAGUUAUUUUCCCUAGAUUUGGAGUCCCUAGAUAUCUAAUGACCGACGGCGGUUCACAUUUCGUUGAUCACAACACCUCUAUCAGGAUGCUUAAAGAAGUUAUUUUCCCUAGAUUUGGAGUCCCUAUAUAUCUAAUGACCGACGGCGGUUCACAUUUCAUUCAUGGCGCUUUCCGUAAAACGCUUGCUAAGUACGAUGCCAACCAUAGAAUUGUGUCUCCCUAUCACCCUCAGUCUAGUGGUCAAGUAGAGCUAAGCAAUAGAGAGAUUAAACUAAUUCUGCAAAAGACUAUCAAUAGGUCUAGAAAGAAUUGGUCUAAGAAGCUCGAUGAUGCACUGUGGGCUUAUAGAACUGCCUAUAAGAAUCCCAUGGGCAUGUCUCCGUACAAAAUGGUGUACGGUAAAGCAUGUCAUUAACCUCUUGAGCUAGAGCAUAAGUCUUAUUGGGCAAUCAAAGAGCUCAACUUUGAUUUCAAACUUGCUGGUAAGAAGAGGUGAUUUGAUAUUAGCUCACUUGAUGAAUGGAGACCUCGGGCAUAUGGAAAUGGCAAGUUGUUCAAAUAAAAGGUUAAGAGGUGGCAUGAUAAAAGGAUACAAAAGCUUGAGUUCAAUGUAGGUGAUUAUGUCUUGCUAUAUAAUUAUCGGUUAAGAUUUUUUUGCAGGCAAGCUUCUCUCUAAAUGGGAAGGUCCUUACACUGUUGAGGAAGUAUAUCGUUCCGGUGCUAUCAAGAUCUACAACACGGAAGGUAAUUUUCCGAGAGUUGUAAAUGGGCAAAGAAUCAAGCAUUAUAUCUCAGGUACUCCCAUAAAUAUUGAAAGCAAUGUUAUCAAUACCAUAACUCCGGAGGAGUACAUAAGGGAUAUUUAUCAGCCUGUUUGAGACUCUGAAAACGAAGAGGUAUGUGAUUGGUAAGUAAAUAGACUCCAAAACUUUUCUAGUAGGAAUUUUUCUCCGUUUUGGAAUUUUUGAAAAAAUAGAAAAAUUUAAAGAAGUCCGGAAAGCGCACGAGGAAGCGACAAGCCUGCCAGGCACAUGCCACCCCCUGGUCGCGCCUGGGGGGCUUGUGGCCACCUCGUGUGCCUCUCGGACUCCGUUUUCUUGCGGAGUACUCCUUCUGUUUUCCCGUAAGGUCUGGCCCUCGUAUCACGCAAAUUUCCUCUGUUUUUGUUUCGAUCUGUUUUCUGUCGCAGAUUUAGAGCAAGAUGUCAUCUCAGGAAUCUAUGGGGGAGAACAAUCUCCCUCAAGUCUAUGAGAAGUAAAUGCUGAUCUAAAAAUAAUGGAGGUCAUGGAGGCUAAGGAAAGGCUACCUAAAGAAACCAAGGGCAAAACUAAGGAGGAGAAUCAGGCAUGGGACGAAGGGCAAUCUGUGUUCAACAAGGAAGAAGUUGAAGAAGUGGAUUUCCUUCAACCCUACAUACACCUAGUGUCUCCAUACUUGAUUGAACUUUUGAGAUUUUGUGAAAUAACUCGUGCUCGCAAUACUUAUCUCCAAGGUAUAAAUCAAAGAUUGAUGGCCCUCUUGGAAUCAAAGGACAAAACGACUCCACCACCAUCACCUCCAAAGGAAGAAAACUAAGCAUGGGUAUGGGCAAUCCCCUUGGCUUGUGCCAAGCUUGGGGGAGUUGCCCCGGUAUCGUAUCACCAUCACAUCUUUUGCCUUUACCUUUGUUUUAGUUCGUUCCUUUUUGGUUUUAUCUUUCUCUAGUAGAAUAAAGUUCUUAGUGUUUUAGGCUUGAGUUUUGCUUUGUGUCACCCACGAUGUAUUCGAGCUCGUGAGCCAUAUAAUAAAGAGUGUCUUAGUUAAGGGCCUUGCCUCAUGCCAUGAUCAAGAGAAUGAAAAGAACAAAAGCAUGAAAGAUCAUGUAAUCAUCUUAUGGGAAGUGAUGGCUUCACAUAUAAAAAAGAAUGUUGAUUGAAACUUGUUGAGGGUAGACAAACGUAGACCUUGGUCAUUGUUGCAAUUAAUAGGAAGUGAUAAAGAAGGAGAGGUUCACAUAUAAAUAUAUCAUCUUGGACACCAUCUAUGAUUGUGAACACUCACUAAACUAUUACAUGCUUAGAAGUAGAUGUUGGACAAGGAAGACAACAUAAUGAAUUGUGUUGGCUUGGUUCCGAACAAUGUUAUAUGACUAGAGAUCCCUUAGCAUAUGACGAUUGCUUCCACCUCAUAUUAGCCAAAACUCCCGCACCAAGUAGAGAUACUACUUGUGCAUCCAUAAACCUUCAACCCAAUUUUGCCAUGAGAGUCCACCAUACGUACCUAUGGAUUGAAUAAGAUCCCUCAAGUAAGUUUUCAUCGGUGCAAGCAAUAAGAAUUUCUCCCUUAAUAUGUAUGAUCUAUUAGUGUGUGGAAAAUAAGCUUUGUAUGAACCUGUGAUGAGGAAGACAUAAAAGCGACAGACUGCAUAAUAAAGUUAUUUAUCACAGGAGGCAAUAUAAAGUGACGUUCCUUCACACUAAGAGGACACGCAUCCAAACCUCAAAAGCGCAUGACAACCUUUGCUUCCCUCUGCGAAGGGCCUAUCUUGUACAUUUACUUUUUGCCCUUGAAAGAGUCAUGGUGAUCUACACCAAUUCCUUAUUUCGCCUUUAUCUUGGCUAACGUCAUAUGCUAGGGAAAGAUCUAUAUUCAUAUGUCAACUUGGAAGUAAGUAUUCAUGAACUAUUACUCUUGACAUUACCCUUGAGGUAAAUAGUUGGGAGGCAAAACUAUAAGCCCCUAUGUUUCUCUGUGUCCGACUGAAACUUUGAUCUCAUGAGUACCACGUGAGUUUUAGCAAUUGUAGAAGACAAAAGGAUGAUUGAGUAUGUGGAUUUGCUUUACAAGCUCUUAUUUGACUCUUUCCGAUGUUAUGAUAAAUUGCAAUUGCUUCAAUGACUAAAGGCUAUCGGUUGUUAAUUCUCGGUAUGGCUCUUGAUCCAUACUUUACUUUGUGAAGGAAUUAUCACUUUAGCAUAAGAGAUGAUAUGAUGAUAUUGUUGUUGUGAUUAUGAUCAUGAUGCCUGCAUGUCCGUAUCUUGUUUUGUUGACACCUCUCUCUCUAAACAUGUGGGCAUAUUUAUUGAUCUCGGCUUUCGCUUGAGGACAAGCGAGGUCUAAGCUUGGGGGAGUUGAUACGUCCAUUUUGCAUCAUGCUUUCAUGUUGAUAUUUAUCGCUUUUUGCGCUCUUAUUACACUUCACGGUACAAUACUUAUGCCUUUUCUCUCUUAUUUUGCAAGGUUUACAUGAAGAGGGAGAAUGCCGACAGGUGGAAUUCUGGCCUGAAAAAUGAGCAAGUUUGAGAUACCUAUUCUGCGCAACUCCAAAAGCCGUGAAAAUCAACGAGGAUUUAUUUUGGAUUUUAUAAAAAAUACUGGGCCGAAGAAGUACCAGAUGGGCGCGAGCAGGAGGCCACAAUCCUGGUAGGCGCGGCCUCCCCCCUGGUUGCGCCUAGGGGGCUUGUGGGCUCCCAGCUGGCCCUCUGGCCCCCCUCUUUUGCUACAAGAAGGGUUUCGUUCCAGAAAAAAAAUCAGGAGGAGGUUUUUCGGAGGAUUCGCUGCCGCCACGAGGCGGAACUUGAGCAGAACCAAUCUAGAGCUCCGGCAGGACGAUCCUGCUAGGGAAACUUCCCUCCCGGAGGGGGAAAUCGUCGCCAUCAUCAUCACCAACACUCCUAUCACCGAAGGGGACUCGUCACCAUCAACAUCUUCAUCAGCACCAUCUCAUCUCCAAACCCUAGUUCAUCUUUUGUAACCAAUCUCCGUCUCGCGACUCCGAUUGGUACUUGUAAGGUUGCUAGUAGUGUUAAUUACUCUUUGUAGUUGAUGCUAGUUGGAUUACUUGGUGGAAGAUUAUAUGUUCAUAUCCUUGAUGCUAUUCAUUACCUCUUUGGUCAUGAAUAUGAUUAUGUUUUGUGAGUAGUUACUUUUGUUCCAGAGGACAUGGGAUAAGUCAUGCUAUAAGUAGUCAUGUGAAUUUGGUAUUCGUUCGAUAUUUUGAUGUGUUGUAUGUUGUUUUUCUUCUAAUGGUGUUAUGUGAACGUCAACUACAUAACACUUCACCAUUAUUUGGGCCUAGAGGAAGGCAUUGUGAAGUAGUAAGUAGAUCAUGGGUUGCUAGAGUGAAAGAAGCUUAAACCCUAGUUUAUGCAUUGCUGCGCAAGGGGUUGAUUUGGAUCCACUAGUUUAAUGCUAUCGUUAGACUUUGUCUUAAUUCUUCUUUCGUAGUUGUGGAUUCUUGCGAGAGGGGUUAAUCAUAAGUGGGAUGCUUGUCCAAGUAAGGGCAGUACCCAAGCGUCGGUCCACCCACAUAUCAAACUAUCAAAGUAGCGAACGCGAAUCAUAUGAACAUGAUGAAAACUAGCUUGACAGAAAUUCCCAUGUGUCCUCGGGAGCGUUUUACCUUCUAUAAGAGUUUGUCCAGGCUUGUCCCUUGCUACAAAAGGGAUUGGGCCACUUUGCUACACCGUUGUUAGUUUUUUUACUUGCUACUUGAUGUGAAUCAUCUUGUCACACAACUACUUGUUAUCGAUAAUUUCAGUGAUUGUGGAUAUUACCUUGCUGAAAACCACUUGUGAGAUCCUUCUGCUCCUCUUUGGGUUCGACACUCUUACUUAUCGAAAGGACUAUGAUAGAUCCUCUAUACUUGUGGGUCAUUAGACCGAGAGUGUCUCGGUCAUGUCUGCAUGAUUCCCAAACCCGUAGGGUCUACACACUUAAGGUUCGAUGACGCUAGGGUCAUAGGGAAUUGUUAUACGAGGUUACCGAAUGUUGUUCGGACUUCCAGAUUAGAUCCCGAACGUCACGAGGAGUUCCGGAAUGGUCCGGAGGUAAAGAUUGAUAUAUAGGAUGGACGGGUUUGGACGCCGGAAAUGUUUCGGGCACCACCGGCAAAGUGUCGGGACCACCGGAAGGGUUCCGGAGGCCCACCGGGAGGGGCCACAAGCCCCGGAGGGCUACAUGGGCCAAGUGUGGUAGGGAACAAGCCCCUAGGUGGGCUGGUGCAGCCCCCCACACUCAGCCCAGGCGCACCAGAGAGGGAGGGAGGGGAAACCCUAGGCGCUGGUGGGCCUAAGGCCCACCUAGGGGUGCGGCACCCCCCUCUCCUCCCUGGCCGUCGCCCCCUCUCCCAUCUAGGUCUGCCGCCCCCCCUCAAGGGGGAAACCCUAAAGGGGGCACCACCCCCCUUCCCCUAUAUAUAGUGGGGUUUUGGCGUUUGGAGAUAUGGUUUUCCAUCUCUCUCUCGGCGCAGCCCUACUCUUCUUCUUCCUCCUCUCCCACGGUGCUUGGCGAAGCCCUGCCGGGAGACCUCGUCUCCCAUCGACACCAUGCCGUCGUGCUGCCGGAGAUCUUCCCGAACCUCUCCCUCCUCCUUUCUAGAUCAAGGUGCGGGAGACGUCACCAGGCUGCACGUGUGUUGAACGCGGAGGUGUCGUGGUUCGACACUAGAUCGGAAUCACACCGCGAUUUGAAUCGCCGCGAGUACGACUCCAUCAACCGCGUUCUAGCAACGCUUCGGCUUAGCGAUCUUCAAAGGUAUGAAGAUGCACUCUCCCCUCUCUCGUUGCUGGUCCCUCCAUAGGAAGAUCUGAAUAUGGCGUAGGAAAAUUUUGAAAUUUAUGCUACGUCCUCAACACUAGGACAUUUGUAUCUAAGAAUCUGGUAAUUUCCGCUUGAAUUGCUCGUACUCGUUCCUAUGGUAGAAGACCGUCUCGCAACCGUUCGAUCUGAUUUAAAGAAGGGGUCAAUAUAUAUCAAUGAAACCGAACACAAUUGACGGUAAUAAAAUAAAGUUGUGAGUAUUGUUUAUCGUACUUCAAUUUUUUUAUGUCCCGGUUUUUGCUCGUCUCAUGGGUCGUCUGGCGAAUGAACUCGCAAACAUAGUAUCCACAUAAAUUGUUCCCAUGUUUCCUGCCUCAGGCACUUUAUGUGAACAGAGUUCAAUAAAAAACAUAAUAAAAAGUGAUAAUGGUAUUGAAACUAGAAUAAAGAGAUGCACGGAUCUAGCUAGUAGUUACUUACAUCCAUUUGUCUAAAUGUAAGCUCUGGCUUCCAAACACCCCAACACUUGGCGGUGAACCGUUUCCCAGCCCUCCCAAGAAAAGGAAAUGAAUAAAGGAGUUCUAUAUUAAUUACUUGCUAUCAGAAAAUGAACGAAAAGUUGCCGAUAUAGUGCCAUAAUGAUUGAAAUUACGUGUGGAGGCAUUCCUGCAUGUUCGCCCAAUCAGCGAGGGAUGUGCGUUUCGGGUCCAUGACUUUUACUAGUCCAUCGUUAGGUACAAUGAUUAACAGAAUAAAGUGGAACCUGCGCACUGAUAUCCCACAAGUAUAGGGGAUCGUGUGUAGCCUUUUCGAUAAGUAAGGGUCUUGAACCCAACGAGGAGCUAAAGGUGGGAUAAAUAUUCUCUCAAGUUCUAUCAAUCAUUGACACAACUCUCCGCACACUAAAAGUUUUGCAAUAUCUAGGAGAUAAAACUAGAGUGAAAAUACGGGUAUGAGAGAAAGCUUUGCAAGAUAAUAAAUACAAGAAAGUAAAUGUUAGUGCUGCAGCGAUAAAAUAUACUAAGUAACCAUAAACUAAUAGUACCAUGAGUGCGGAAAAGUGGUGGUAAUUGUGGUGGAAUUGUCCAUGAUCAAAUAGUCAAAUACAAGGUUGAUAUUCCUCUUUUAUGUGGGAGAGGCAAAGCUAACAAGCUCUCACUAUCCAAUGAUUGCAAGUACUUAUGAUUGGAACUCUAGCAAACAUUCGUAAAUACUAGAAGAUACAUUAAGGUAAAAAUACCCAACCAUAAGAUCAAAAGGUCCUCUUUAUCCCAUAUGCGUUGAUCACUAGAUUGGGGCUCAUGUUUCUGCCACUCAAGCAGCCCACCCUCUAGCUUUAUCCACAUACUACAAACCCUAUGAUGUGAUCCAUGCGCGCAUAAACAUAUGAUGGGUACCAUAGGACUAUAACAAAUUCAAUAUAUAUCUCAAACCAUCCAUGGAGAUUCAACAAUCAAUCAUAUGACAAAAGGAACUACACAAACAUGACAUAGAUGCAAUAGAUCAUUUGCAAAUAUUUUAUAACAUCAAACACCAUGUUUACAUAGGGGAUUACGGAGGUUUGUGGGAGAGUGGACCACUAUAGCUAUGGAGGAGAUGAUGAUGGAGGUGUUGGUGAAGGCCGAAUCAUGGCGGAGAGGAUGGAGAAGGGGCGGCACGUGAGGUGCAGGGCUGCGCCGGCGGCCGUGGGGCUCCUCCUGCGCCGGCCGACCGUCAUGGGGGAGCGCAUCCCCUUAGACCCCUUCCUCCAUGGUUCUUGGUGCUGUUUAUGAGCCCUCCCCCAUGGGAUGAGUCCAUGAGGGAGGCAAAAUUUGUGACUUUUGGUGGCUGCCGAGAAAUCAGGGUUCCUUGGCCCUCCGAUGGAUGCCCCUUUGAUCCAAGGGCACUUGGGCACCUCUAAAACCUUCCUAGGGACCCCUCUCAGCCCUAAUGAGGUGCCAAAGUCGUGGCUUGGCCGAAUCCAUCAAAUAUGGUAAGAGUUGGACUCAAUCAUGUCACCGAUUCCCGUAAUCCCGUAAUCAGAUAUUUGUCCUCCAGUAAAAUGGGCUUUAAUGAAGCGUCCGAACUCCAAAUGGGCCGAAUUGUAUGCCUAAUAUUAUCAGAAUAAAAUUCCCCACACUUUUGUCUUUGGUGAGAUUUCCGUUUGAGGCCCUCUUCGACCCGAAACGUGGCAAUCUUUAAAAAGCAUUUUCACACAGAUUUCAGGAAAGUCCUAAUUCGACUCCAACAAGGUUUCCUCUUCUAUUUUUGAUAGUUCCUACACAUAAAAGUGUAAAAUAAGAACAUUGUGCACUUUUGCAACUAUUAAUAGGUUAGUCCAAAUAAAUCAUAAACUUAAUAUAAAAACAAUUACCAAAAGCAUAAAAGUAGCAUGAAACCAUAAAAAAUUAUAGAUACAUUUUGGACGUAUCAACAUCCCCAAGCUUAGUUCCUACUCGUCCUUGAGUAGGUGAAACGAUAAAAACAAAAUAAUUUUUGAGGUGACAUGGUACCAACAUAAUCUUGAUCAUCAUAUUUGUAAAAUCAUGUGUAAGCUGAGAUCAUAGCAAUCUAAACAUAGGCAUGAUAGAUAUAAUUCUAACAAUGAAACUUAGCAACCAUGUUUCAACAUGAAAGGUAACGCAAACAAAAGAUCAUGAAUAAUAAUGCACUUGAAAGUUAUAAGUUUGUUUUGAGCAUAAAGAAAACAUAGCAAAGUGGUAUUUCGCUUCUCCUUAAGAGUGGAGCAAAACAUAAAUGCCAGGACACCUUCAAAGUUCAAGUGGAUGACUAGACCAAAUUAUUUGAGAGCUAGUAAUAACACAUCAUGAAUCAGUCAAUAAUAAAUUUUGCAACUAUGCACAUUAUACUCAGAAUGACAACUCUGCUCUCUUAAUUGAUGCAUUAAGUUAGAAGAUGAAGACUCAACAUAAAAGUAAAAGAAAGGCCCUUCACAGAGGGAAGCAGGGAUUAAUCAUGUGAUAGAGCUUUUAGAGAUUUUUGAAAUCAAUAAGAUUGUAAAACAAGCUUUUGGGAGUGCAUAAUCCGUCAACGAAUGUUAGCAAAUAGUUCAAUACUUCUCAUGCUGGACAAGUUCUGAGGAACGGCUCCCAAAGUGGGGACGGUAACACCCCCUUAGCCUCGUUUGUUUAUCACUAUUCUGAUUUCUCAUGAACAAAGCGUGAAGGAGGUUUUGUUUGUUGCUAUUAUCUUUUACGAGCUGGGCGCGCUCAUGCCAGUCCCUCCUCGUAUUAGGGGUUCGCAGAUUAGACAUGCAAACCCAAGAUAAAGCUUGUCCAGUAUGAUAACAUCAUGAAUUAUCUACUAGUUCCUCAUGAGCUAAAACAGAGUCACAAAACAUGAAUAAUUUUGAAAAUUUUAAAGGUAACACAUGAGAAAUUUACUUGGACUGGCGGUUAAAUACCACAUGUAGGUAGGUAUGGUGGAAACAUUUGGCAAACUUUGGUUUUUGGGAGUUGGAUGCACGAGUAGUGUUAAUACUCAGUACAGGUGGAGGCUAGCAAAAGACUAAGAGUGACAAAUUAAGAGAGCAAUAAUGUCCAUAAUCAUGCAUAGCGACAAAAACAUUAUUAAUCAAAGCAUAAAUGGCAUUACAAGUCGAAAAAUAAAUGAUCAUAGAGGCUAUAAGUGACUGGUUUGUAGUCAUAACAUGGUGUGAGCAUGCGCCAAGUCAACCCAAAUGAAGUAGUAAAGGAGAAUACCAUAAUAUUAUGCUUCGAUAUGAUAAAAAACGACACAUGAUUCUUUCAAUGGCACUUUAAGCACUCUCAGUUAUUUGAGACAAGUUAUGCUACAUCAAUAAUUACUAAGCAUAUAAUUAAGAUAAUAUCUAACAUGACAUGUUAAAGUCUAAGCCACAGUCUAAACGAGCUUUCUAUUGCACCACUAUAAGCAUGGAAUAUUUUACUCUUCUCCAACACCAAUAAACUUUCUUGAACAACUCUCAUAGAUAAUAUUAAUUAAAGACAAGAGAGAUAAUCAUAUAUAUAUCUGAAGCAAACUAACAAGCUCUAAACAAAAUAUGAGUGGAAGACAAGAGCUAAACGCAGUACUAGCAAAAAGUGAACACUCACAGAACAAUAAGAGUGAAAACUAGAGUGUUCUAAGCAAUUAAAACGGAGCGUGUCUCUCUUCAAACUAAUAUGCUGGGAUCCAACCAUUUAUUAAAGCAAAGAAAACUACACAAAGUGAGAAGUAAAGAGCGGGAUGCUCCAAACAUAGCACAUAACAUAUGAAGUCAUAAAAAUGUAGUAUGGAGAAGGACAAACUGAUGAUUGUUGAUGGAGAAGGGGAUGCACGGGGGCAUCCCUAAGCUUAGACGCUUGAGUCUCCUUGAAUAUUUCUUGGGGGUGCGAUGGGGGGAUCCCCAAGCUUGAGCGCUUGACACUCCUGGAUCUUCUUUCAUCAUCUUUCAUCGCAUACUUGAAAACUUCCUUCAUACGAAACUCAUCAUAAGCUGAUUAGAGUGGUUAGUGCCCGUAAUAAAAGAAUUUAUUCUCUUAUGGAAAUAAUAUUUUCAGGAAGAUCUACUAUUUCUAAAUAUUGCCAAAAGUUUCUUGCAAAAAAAAGCAAGCUUAAGAUUUGCAAAACAAUGAAAACGCAGAACAGGGCAGAAUCUGGAAAAAAGAGACCAACAGGUAGUAAAUAAUUUUUUCGAGGCACUUAUGCAACUCAAAUCAAAAAACUCAGAACAGAUGCCAAAAAGUAAAUUAUAUAGAGCAUACUUCCAAAAACAUUCAGAUCAAAAAGAUGAUCUGGUGUUUUUUGGCGAAGUUUUCUGUCAAGCAGACAAAAUCUGUUCUUGGACAACAUGUCACAACUUUUGAACUUUCUUGGAAUCGGAGGCUAAAACUUAGCACAAAAAACGAAAUAAAAAGGAUAAGGAGAGGUUGAUACAUAGGUAACAACUUCCAAGACUCAAAGAAAACAAAAGAAGCUGAAAUAAAAAAAACAUGAAAACAUAAGGAAAACAAAGUGGGUUGCCUCCCACAAGCGCUUUUCUUUAACGCCUUUUAGCUAGGCAUGGAAAAAGGAGGGAUGCGUUGGGCAUCCCUGUAACGCCCCGGACAAACCCGCCGGCGGUCGUUACUCCUGGCGGGAUCUAGACUGGCCCCACAUAUCAAUACUAGUCUUUUCUGCGCACUUCGUCCUCACUCAUGCGCACCUGGGACCAACUGCCCGGUCGUCACCCAUCCUAGAACUACUCCAAGCCAAGCACGCUUAAUCCUUAUUGAUAUGAGUACUCUAUCAUCCCUAAUAAGCCAGGCUAUCACAUACACCACCACUCAGAAGAACCGACAUCCUCGUCGGGCCACAGGAGCGUUCCCUCUUGGCACAAACGUCUGUGCAUCGAGUCCAGUACAUGUGCAAUGUCGUGUUCCAUGACGGGUCACAAACGUCAUGAACAACAUGACUGCGCACCUGUCCGCAAACAUCCAUGUAACCGCGAGGGUCGGCUCUGAUACCAAACUUGUACAUCCCCGGACACACCCGCCGGCGGUCGUUACUCCUGGCGGGAUCUAGACUGGCCCCACAUAUCAAUACUAGUCUUUUCUGGGCACUUUGUCCUCACUCAUGCGCACCCGGGACCAACUUCCCGAUCGUCACCCAUCCUAAAACUACUCCAAGCCAAGCACGCUUAACAUGAGAGUUUUGUUUGACUAGGCUCCCAGAAAAGAAGGAAUUCCUUAUUGAUAUGAGUAGUCUAUCAUCCCUAAUAAGCCAGGCUAUCACAAUCCCCAAGCUUUGAUGAUUGAAUAUUCUUGAAUACUUCAUUGAUGUGAACUUGGGAGUCCCCAAGAUUGAGCUUUUCUCUUCACAUUCAUCUCGUAUCACCAUCUCCAUUGGAUCUUAAAUACUACAUUCACAUAAAACUUGACAAAAACUCAUUAGUAGGGUUAGUACUCAUUAAAUAAAACCCACUAAAGCGUCCAUUUUGCAUCAUGUUUUCAUGUUGAUAUUUAUCGCUUUUUGGGCUGUUAUUUCACUUCAUGGUACAAUAUUUAUGCCUAUUCUCUCUUAUUUUGCAAGGUUUACAUGAAGAGGGAGAAUGCCCGCAGCUGGAAUUCUGGCCUGAAAGUGGAGCAAGUUUGAGAUACCUAUUCUAUGCAACUCCAAACGCCGUAAAAAUCAUCGAGGAUUUUUUUUCUAGAUUUAUAAAAAUACUGGGCCGAAGAAGCGCCAGAGGGGCGCCAGCAGGUGGCCACAAGCCUGCUAGGCGCGGCCACCCCCCGUGGUCGCGCCUAGGAGGCUUGUGGGCAGCCUGCUGGCCCACUGGCCCCCUCUUCUGCUAUAUGAAGGGUUUCGUCCGGAAAAAAAAUCAGGGAGGAGCUUUUUCGUGGAUUCGCCGCUGCCACGAGGCAGAACUUGAGCAGAACCAAUCUAGAGCUCCGGCAGGACGAUCCUGCCGGGGAAACUUCCUUCCUGGAGGGGGAAAUCGUCGCCAUCAUCAUCACCAACACUCCUCUCAUCGAAGGGGACUCGUCACCAUCAACAUCUUCAUCAGCACCAUCUCAUCUCCAAACCCUAGUUCAUCUCUUGUAACCAAUCUCCGUCUCGCGACUCCUAUUGGUACUUGUAAGGUUGCUAGUAGUGUUGAUUACUCUUUGUAGUUGAUGCUAGUUGGAUUAUUUGGUGGAAGAGUUUAUGUUCAGAUCCUUGAUGCUACUCAUUACCUCUCUGGUCAUGAAUAUGAUUAUGCUUUGUGAGUAGUUACUAUUGUUCUUGAGGACAUGGGAUAAGUCAUGCUAAUAGUAGUCAUGUGAAUUUGGUAUUCGUUCGAUAUUUUGAUGUGUUGUAUGUUGUUUUUCCUAUAGUGGUGUUAUGUGAACGUCGACUACAUAACACUUCACCUUUAUUUGGGCCUAGAGGAAGGCAUUGGGAAGUAGUAAGUAGAUGAUGGGUUGCUAGAGUGAUAGAAGCUUAAACCCUAGUUUAUGCGUUGCUUCGUAAGGGGUUGAUUUGGAUCCACUAGUUUAAUGCUAUGGUUAGACUUUGUCUUAAUUCUUCUUUCAUAGUUGUGGAUGCUUGCGAGAGGGGUUAAUCAUAAGUGGGAUGCUUGUCCAAGCAAGGGCAAUACCCAAGCGCCGGUCCACCCACAUAUCAAACUAUCAAAGUAAAGAACGUGAAUCAUAUGAACAUGAUGAAAACUAGCAUGACAGAAAUUCUUGUGUGUCCUCGGGAGCGUUUUUCCUCCUAUAAGACUUUGUCCACGCUUGUCCCUUGCUACAAAAGGGAUUCGGCCACUUUUCUGCACCGUUGCUACUUUUGUUACUUGUUGCUUGCUACGACUCAUCUCGCCACAUAAUCACUUGUUACCGAUAAUUUCAGUGCUUGUAGAUUUGACCUUGCUGAAAACCACUUGUCAGAUCCUUCUACUCCUCGUUUGGAUAGACACUCUUACUUAUUGAAAGGACUACGAUUGAUCCCCUAUACUUGUGGGUCAUCAAGACUCUUUUCUGGCGUUGUUGCCGGGGAGUGAAGCGCCUUUGGUAAAUGGAACUUGGUAAGGAAACAUUCAUAUAGUGUGCUGAAAUUUAUUGUCACUUGUCACUAUGGAUACUAAUCCUUUGAGGGGCUUGUUCGGGGUACCUUCACCUCAAACAGAAGCACAAAUAGUUUCUCCUCAACCUGCUGCACCUACUGAAAAUAUUUGCUUUGAAUUUCCUUCGGGUAUGAUUGAGAAACUUCUGGCUAAUCCUUUUACACGAGAUGGAACAUCACAUCCAGACUUGCAUCUAAUCUAUGUAGAUGAAGUUUGUGGUUUAUUUAAGCUUGCAGGUUUGCCCGAGGAUGAGGUCAAUAAGAAGGUAUUUCCUUUAUCUUUGAAGGAUAAUGCGUUGACAUGGUAUAGGCUAUGUGAUGAUACUGGAUCAUGGGACUACAAUCGAUUGAAAUUGGAAUUUCAUCAAAAGUUUUAUCCUAUGCAUUUAGUACAUCGUGAUCGAAAUUAUAUUUAUAAUUUUUGGCCUCGUGACAGAGAAAGCAUCGCUCAAGCUUGGGGGAGGCUUAAAUGAAUGCUAUAUUCAUGCCCCAACCAUGAGCUCUCGAGAGAAAUUAUCAUUCAGAACUUCUAUGCUCGGCUUUCUCAUGAUGAUCGCACCAUGCUUGACACUUCUUGUGCCGGUUAUUUUAUGAAGAGAGAUAUUGACUUCAAAUGGAGUUUAUUGGAGAGAAAUAAGUGCAACUCUGAAGAUUGGGAGCUGGAAGAAGGUAAGGAGUCAGGUAUGAAUUACAAGUUUGAUUGCGUUAAAUCCUUUGUUGAAACAAAUACCUUUAGUGAUUUUAGCGCUAAGUAUGGACUUGAAUCUGAGAUAGUAGCUUCACUGUGUGAAUCAUUUGCUGCUCAUAUUGAUCUCCGGAAAGAGAAGUGGUUUAAAUAUCACCCUCCUUUAGAAGUCAAUGUAGUUAAACCCAAUCCAGUUGAAGAGAAAUUCAUUGCCUAUAAUGAUCCUGUUGUUCCAAGUGCUUACAUUGAGAAACCACCUUUCCCUGUUAGGAUAGAGGAUCAUUCUAAAGCUUCAGCUGUGAUACGUAGAGGCUACAUUAGAACACCUACACCCCCUGAGAAAAUUAGAGUUGAAACUAGUAUUGCUAUUAUCAAAGAUCUUUUGUCCGACGAUGUUGAUGGACAUAAUAUUCACUUCUGUGAAGAUGCUGCUAGAAUUGCUAAACCUCACGCUAGAGACAAACAUGGGCCUGUUGUUGGCAUGCCUGUUGUUUCUGUUAAGAUAGGAGAUCAUUGUUAUCAUGGCUUAUGUGACGAGGGUGUUAGUGUUAGUUUAAUACCUCAAUCCUUAUAUGAUGAAAUCAAAGACGAGAUUGCACCUGUUGAGAUAGAACCCAUUGAUGUCAUUAUUCAGCUUGCCAAUAGAGAUACUAUGUGCCCUGAUGAAAUCAAAGACGAGAUUGCACCUGUUAAGAUAGGAAUUGUUAGGGAUGUUGAAGUGUUGUGUGGUAAAACGAAGUAUCCUCCUGAUUUCCUCAUUCUUGCUACCGCACAAGAUAGCUUUUGUCCCAUCAUAUUUGGCAGACCCUUCCUCAAUAAGCAAACUGUCACUGUUGGCUUUGAAGGUGUGUCACAUGAGUUCAAUUUCUCUAAGUUUGGUAGACAACCUCAUGAAAAGGAGUUGCCUAGUAGGGAUGAAACUAUUGCCUUAGCUUCUAUUGCCGUACCUCCUACUUAUCCCUUAGAGAAAUACUUGCUCGAGCAUGAAAAUGAUAUGCAUAUGGAUGAAAGGGAUGAGAUAGAUAGAGUUGUCUUAGAACAAUAUCCUAUCCUUAAGAAUAACUUUCCUGUUGAACUGCUUGGGGAUCCACCCCCACCCAAAGGGUGAUCCUAUGUUCGAGCUUAAAUAGUUCCUGAUACUCUUAAGUAUGCUUAUCUUGAUGAAAAAGAGAUAUAUCAUGUUAUUAUUAGUGCUAGCCUCUCAGAGCAUGAAGAAAAGAAGUUACUAAAAACUCUGAGAAAGCACCGUGCUGCUAUUGGAUAUACUCUUGAUGAUCUUAAGGGCAUUAGUCCCACUCUAUGCCAACACAAGAUCAAAACUGAUCCUGAUUUCAAACCAGUUGCUGAUCAUCAACAGAGAUUAAAUCCUAAGAUGAAAGAGGUAGUAAGAAAAGAAAUACUAAAGCUCCUAGAAGCAGGUAUCAUCUAUCCAGUUGCUCAUAGUGAUUGGGUGAGUCCAGUGCAUUGCGUCCCUAAGAAGGGAGGCAUUACCAUUGUCCCUAAUGAUAAGGAUGAAUUGAUCCCACAGAGGAUUAUUACUGGCUAUAGGAUGGUGAUCGAUUUUAGGAAAUUGAAUAAAGCCACUAGGAAAGAUCAUUACCCUUUGCCUUUUAUCGACCAAAUGCUAGAAAGACUGUCUAAACACACACAUUUCUGCUUUCUAGACGGUUAUUCUGGUUUCUCCCAAAUACCAGUUGCACUGAUCAGGAGAAAACCACUUUCACCUGCCCUUUCGGUACCUUUGCUUAUAGACGUAUACCUUUUGGCUUAUGUAAUGCACCUGCCACCUUUCAAAGAUGGAUGAUGGCUAUAUUCUCUGACUUUUGUGAAAAGAUUGUUCAGGUUUUCAUGGAUGACUUCUCCGUUUACGGGUCUUCUUUUGACGAUUGCCUCAACAACCUUGAUCGAGUCUUGCAGAGAUGUAAAGAUACCAAUCUUGUCUUGAAUUGGGAGAAGUGCCACUUUAUGGUUAAUGAAGGCAUUGUCUUAGGACAUAAAAUUUCUGAAAGAGGUAUUGAAGUCGAUAAGGCUAAGGUUGAUGCAAUCGAGAAAAUGCCAUACCCCACAGAUAUCAGAGGUAUAAGAAGUUUCCUUGGUCAUGCUGGUUUCUAUAGAAGGUUCAUUAAAGACUUCUCUAAGAUUUCUAGGCCUCUUACCAAUCUCUUGCAAAAGGAUAUUUCUUUUGUUUUUGACGAUGAUUGUGAGGAAGCCUUCAAAAUAGUUAAUAGGGCUUUGAUAACCACACCUAUUAUUCAACCACCUAAUUGGAACUUGUCGUUUGAAAUCAUGUGUGAUGCUAGCGAUUAUGCUAUUGGUGAUGUUCUAGGGCAAAGAGUUGACACGAAGUUGAAUGUUAUUCACUAUGCCAGUAAAACUCUAGACAGUGCCCAAAGAAACUAUCCCACUACGGAAAAGGAGUUUUUAGUAGUCGUGUUUGCAUGUGAAAACUUCAGGUCUUACAUAGUUGAUUCCAAAGUCACUAUUCACACUGAUGACGCUGCUAUUAAGUACCUCAUGGAGAAGAAGGACGCUAAACCUAGACUUAUCAGAUGGGUUCUCUUGCUAAAAGAGUUUGAUUUGCACGUUGUCGAUAGGAAGGGUGCUGAUAACCCCGUAGCAGAUAACUUGUCUAGGUUGGAGAACAUUCUUGAUGACCCACAACCUAUUGAUGAUAGCUUUCCCGAUGAGCAAUUGAAUGUCAUCAAUGCUUCACGUAGUGCACCAUGGUAUGCUGAUUAUGCAAACUAUAUCAUUUCCAAAUAUAUACCACCUAGUUUCACAUACCAGCAAAAGAAGAAAUUAUUCUAUGACUUGAGACACUACUUUUGAGAUGAUCCCCGCCUUUAUAAGGAAGGAGUAGAUGGUGUUAUUAGACGUUGUGUACCUAAACAUGAACAGGGACAGAUCCUACAUAAGUGUCACUCUGAGGCCUACGGAGGACACCCUGCGGGAGAUAGAACUGCACACAAGGUAUUGCAAUCAGGUUUCUAUUGGCCCACUCCCUUCAAGGAUGCGUGUAAGUUUGUCUUGUCUUGUGACGAAUGUCAAAGAGUAGGUAAUAUCGGUAAACGUCAAAAAAUGCCUAUGAACUAUUCACUUGUCAUUGAACCAUUUGAUGUGUGGGGCUUUGAUUAUAUGGGACCUUUUCCAAAAUCCCACGGGUAUACUCACAUCUUACUUGCUGUUGAUUACGUCACUAAGUGGGUAGAAGCUAUCCCCACUAGUAGUGCUGAUUCAUACGUCUCAAACGUAUCUAUAAUUUUAUAUGGUUUCACACUGUUAUCUUGUCAUCUUUGGAUGUUUUAUGUACCUUUUAUAUCUUUUUUGGGACUGACUUAUUAAUUCAGUGCCAAGUGCCAGUUCCUGUUUUUCCUGUGUUUUUGGCUCUUUUCAGAUCUGAUUUUGGAAUGGAAUCCAAACGGAAUAAUAUCCCCGAAAUGAUUUUAUUCUGAACGGAAGAAGAUCAGGGGGCCUGUGGGCCAAGCCAGGAGGGCUCCUGGGAGCCCACAAGCCCGCACUCCGCCACCAGGGGGAGGCGGCGGUGGCAGGGCUUGUGGCCUCCCUGAGCGCCCCCUGACCUAGAUCUUUGGCCUAUAUAUUCCCUAAAAUACAGCAAAAAAUCAGGGGAGCCUCAAAAAUACUUUUCCGCCGCCGCAAGCUUCCGUUUCCGCAAGAUCUCAUCUAGAGACCCUUCUCGGCACCCUGCCGGAGGGGACUUUGGGGUUGGAGGGCUUCAUCAUCAUCAUCAUCGCCCCUCCAAUGACUCAUGAGUAGUUCACUUCAGACCUACGGGUCCGCAGUUAGUAGCUAGAUGGCUUCUUCUCUCUCUUGGAUCUUCAAUACAAAGUUCUCCAUGAUCUUCAUGGAGAUCUAUCCGAUGUGAUCUUCUUUGGCGGUGUGUUUGUCGAGAUCCGAUGAAUUGUGGAUUUGUGAUCAGAUUAUCUAUGAUAUAUAUUUGAGUCUUUGCUGAUUUCUUAUAUGCAUGAUUUGAUAUCCUUGUAAGUCUCUCCGAGUCUUGGGUUUUGUUUGACCAACUAGAUCUAUGAUUAUUGCAAUGGGAGAAGUGCUUGGUUUUGGGUUCUACCAUGUGGUGACCUUUACCAGUGAGAGUAGAGGCAGCAAGGCACACNUUCUUCAUCAUCAUCAUCGCCCCUCCAAUGACUCAUGAGUAGUUCACAUCAGACCUACGGGUCCGCAGUUAGUAGCUAGAUGGCUUCUUCUCUCUCUUGGAUCUUCAAUACAAAGUUCUCCAUGAUCUUCAUGGAGAUCUAUCCGAUGUGAUCUUCUUUGGCGGUGUGUUUGUCGAGAUCCGAUGAAUUGUGGAUUUGUGAUCAGAUUAUCUAUGAUAUAUAUUUGAGUCUUUGCUGAUUUCUUAUAUGCAUGAUUUGAUAUCCUUGUAAGUCUCUCCGAGUCUUGGGUUUUGUUUGACCAACUAGAUCUAUGAUUAUUGCAAUGGGAGAAGUGCUUGGUUUUGGGUUCUACCAUGUGGUGACCUUUACCAGUGAGAGUAYAGGCAGCAAGGCACACAUUAAAUAGUUGCCAUCAAGGCUAACAAGAUGGGCUCUGUCGUUGAUAUGAGAUUGUCCAUCUACAUCAUGUCAUCUUGCUUAAGGCGUUACUCUGUUCUUUUGGACUUAAUACACUAGAUGCAUGCUGGAUAGCGGUCGACGUGUGGAGUAAUAGUAGUAGAUGCAGAAAGUAUCGGUCUACUCGUUUUGGACGUGAUGCCUAUAGAUAUAAUCAUUGCCAUAGAUAUCGUCACGACUUUGCGCGGUUCUAUCAAUUGCUCGACAGUAAUUUGUUCUCCCACCGUCUACUUGCUUUCAUGAGAGAAGCCACUAGUAAACACUACAGCCCCGGGGUCUAUUCACAUCUAUCGUUUACACCUCCGCUUUUACUUUGCUUUGUUACUUUGUUGCUUUAAGUUCUCACUUGGCAAACAAUCUAUAAGGGAUUGACAACCCCUUCAUAGCAUUGGGAGCAGGUUCUUUGUGUUUGUGCAGGAUCUUGUGAUACUCCUCCACUGGAUUGAUACCUUGGUUCUCAAACUAAGGGAAAUACUUACCACCGCUCUGGUACAUCACCCUUUCUGCUUCGGGGGAACACCAACGCAAGGCUCCAUACCAUAGCAGAAGGAUUCCUGGUGCCGUCGACACGACUAUUCCUGUCGCCGUUGCCGGGGAAGCACAACUGACAUCAGAAGUAUUUUUGGCGCCGUUGCCGGGGAGGAGAGAUCAAGAUCUAUCUAAGUAGGUCUCACAAACUCAUCUCUUGCAUUUACUUUCGUUGCCAGUUGCCUCUCGUUUUCCUCUCCCCCACUUCACAUUUGCCGUUUUCAUGUGCCUUUCUCCUUUGCCUUUUUCGUUCGCCCUUUUCUCUCGUUUGCCUUUACGUUGCGUGUGUGCUAUGUGCCUUCAAUAUGCUUGCAUCUUCAGUUGCUGAAAAUCUAGUGAUAUGGAUCCUCAUCCACUUGCUAAUCUCUUUAAGAGACCCACUUAUGUGGAACGAAUUGCUAGUAAGUUGAGGGCACUUGACUAUCUUUAUGGAGUUUUGCUUGAGAUGCGUGAAUCUGAAAAUUGUGAGGAAGAAAUUUAUGAAGUGAUUCACGAGGGAUCCUUGGAUGAAAAGCAUGGUUUCACUAUAAAUCCUAUUAGUGAAAAUCAUGCUAAAAAUAUGCAAAACCAAAAGCUUGGGGAUGCUAGUUUUGCUAUGUCCCCUACUUGUUGCAAUAAUCAUGAUUGGGGUGAUGAUCUUUCUUAUGAUGUUGAAAAUUUGUUUAAGCCUCAUGAUGAGUAUGAUAUUUGCAACAAUAUUGAAAGUGGGAUUGGAGAAGUCAUGACUUUAUUUGAUGAUAAUCCCCUUAUUUUUGAAGAACGUCAACUUUGCAUGCAUGUGGAUCAUGAAAAGAAUAUCCUAUGUGAUAGUUACAUUGUUGAAUUCAUUCAUGAUGCUACUGAAAAUUACUAUGAGAGAGGAUCAUAUGCUUCUACGUAUUGCAAUAGUAUCAAGCUUCCUCUCCAUGUGUUGAAAUUUUUGAAGCUAUGCUUGUUUUGCCUUCCUAUGCUAGUUGAUUCUUGCUCCAACAAGUUGUUUGUUCACAAAAUCCCUAUGCAUAGGAAGUGGGUUAGACUUAAAUGUGCUACCAUAUGCUCCAUGAUGCUCUCGUUGUGUUUCAAUCCUUACCUUUUAUGUGAGCAUCAUUGAAAUCAAUUCCUAGCUAAGGGCCUUAAACAAAAGCGCUUGUUGGGAGGCAACCCAACGAAUCUAUCCAUUUUCUUUCUGUUUUGUGUUUUCCACACUUUCAUAAUUCUGUUAUGAUUGUGUUUUUUGUGUUUCUUUUUGCGUUUGUGCCAAGCAAAAUCGUUAUGAUUAGUCUUGGGGAUGAUCGUUUGGUCAUGCUGGAAAAGAUAGAAACUGUAUGCUCACGAAAAGAAUUUUCAUUUUUUUCUGUAAGAGCUUUUGAGUUGAUUAUUUUUGCUACUGAUUGCUACGCAAAUUCUUCAGACUUUCGUAAUUUUUCAGAAUUUUUGAAGUACCAUAGGUAUACGAAAUAUACAGAUUGCAACAAACUAGUCUGCUGUUAACAGAUUCUGUUUUUGUUGUUUUGGUUGCUUAUUUUGAUGAAACUAUGGAUAGUAUCGGGGGGUAUUAGCCAUGGAAGAUUUAAAAUACAGUAACCCAACAUCAGCACAAGUAGAAUUUAAGUUUGCUACAGUACCUAAGGAAGUGGUUGUUUGCUUUCUCAUACUAAUGUUAUCACGAGUUUCUGUUUAAGUUUCGUGUUGUGAAGUUUUCAAGUUUUGGGUGAAGUUCUUAUGGACAAAGAGAUAAAGAGUGGCAAGAGCUCAAGCUUGGGGAUGCCCAAGUCACCCCAAGAGAUUCAAGGAUGCCGUAAAAUCCUAAGCUUGGGGAUGCCCCGGGAAAGCAUCCCCUCUCUCGUCUUCAAUCCAUCGGUAACGUUACUUGGGGCUAUAUUUUUAUUCACCACAUGUUAUGUGUUUUUGCUUGGAGCGUCUUGUAUCGUAGGAGUCUUUUAUUUCUGUUGUGUCACAAUCAUCCUUGCUGCACACCUAGAGAGAGACAUGCACUCACCGUGAUUUUGUCGAGCUUCACUUAUAUCUUUUGGUAGACAAUUCAGCUCACAUGUGCUUCACUUAUAUCUUUUCAGCUAGAUACUUUCGCUCUAUGUGCUUCACUUAUAUCUUUUAGAGAACAGCGGUGCGUGGCUUGGUAGUUGAUCUAUGCUUUGAAAGUAGUUUCAAAAGGGGUAUUAGCCAAAGGGAUACGAAAACUUCCACCUUCAUGUGCAUUGAAUAGUUAGAGAAGUUUGAUUCAUCUCAAUCAGUUUUGAGUUGUGGUUAUGGUAAUAUUGAAGUCAUGCUAGUAAGGUGUUGUGGAUCUAGAAAUACUUGUGUUGAAGUUAGUGAUUCCCGUAUCAUGCACGUAUGAUGAACCGCUAUGUGAUGAAAUCUGAGCAUGAUUAGUAUAUUGAUUGUCAUCCUUUGCGUCGCGGUCGGAAUCACGCGAUGGUUUAUACCUACCAACCCUUCCCCUAGGAGUAUGCGUUGAAUGCUUUGUUUCGAUUACUAAUAAAACUUUUGCAACAAGUAUAUGAGUUCUUCAUGACUAAUGUUGAGUCCAUGGUUUAGAUGCACUUUCACCUUCCACCAUCACUAUCUUCGUAGUGUCGUGCAACUUUCGCCGGUGCACAAAACCCACCAUUAACCUCCCUCAAAUCAGCCACCAUACCUACCUACUAUGGCUUUUUCAAAGUCAUUCCGAGAUAUAUUGCCAUGCAACUACCACCAUGACAUGUGCUAGCACGUCAACAUUGCCAUUGCAUGAUCGUAAGAUAGCUAGCAUGAUGUUUCCAUUAAUGUCUAUGGCAUGCUAGAUCGUUGUCACGGUACACUACAUAAGGCAUUUCAUAUAGAGUCAUCGUUGCUCUAAGUUUUGAGUUGAAAGUGUGAUGAUCAUUAUUGAUGGAGCAUUGUCCCAUGUGAGGAAAUAAAACAGGCCAAAGAAGCCCACCAAAAAAAAGAGGCCAAAGAGCCCACAAAAAAAAUGGGAGAAAAAAAGAGAAGGGACAAUGCUACCACUUUUUCCACACUUGUGCAUAUUAAGCACCAUGAUCUUCAUGAUUGAGAGUCUCUCGUUUUGUCACCACCAUAUAGCUAGUGGGAAAAUCUUCAUUAUAUAACUUGGCUUGUAUAUUCCAAUGAUAGGCUUCCUCAAAAUUGCCUUAGGUCUUCGUGAGCAAGCAAGUUGGAUGCACACCCACUAGUUUUCUUUAAGAGCUUUCACAUACUCUUAGCUCUAGUGAAUCAUUUGUAUGGCAAUACCUACUCAUUCACAUUGAUAUCUAUUGAUGAGCAUCUCCACAGCUCAUUGAUAUGCCGAGUUAAUGUGACUAUCUUCUCCUUUUUUGUCUUGCAACAUCCACCACACUCCACACCAUCUAUAGUGCUAUAACCAUGGCUCACGCUCAUGUAUUGCGUGAGAGUUGAAAAGGUUUGAGAAAUUAAAGGUGUGAAACAAUUACUUGGCCAAUACCAGGGUUGUGCAUGAUUUAAAUUCGUUGUGCAAUGAUGAUAGAGCAUAGCCAGACUAUAUGCUUUUGUAGGGAUAACUUUCUUUUGGCCUUGUUAUUUUGAAAGUUCAUGAUUACCUUGAUAGUUUGCUUGAAUUAUUAUUGUUUCCACGUCAAUAGCAAACUAUUGUUUUGAAUCUAAUGGAUCUGAACAUUCAUAUCACAUAAGAGGAGUUACAAAGGACAUCUAUGCUAGGUAGCAUGAAAGUAUAAAAAAUUCAUUCUUUAUCACUUCCCUACUCGAGGACGAGCAGGAGUUAAGCUUGGGGAUGCUUGAUACGUCUGAAACAUAUCUAUAAUUUUAGAUGGUUUUACGCUGUUAUCUUGUCAUCUUUGUAUGUUUUAUAUACCUUUUAUAUCUUUUUUGGGACUAACUUAUUAAUUCAGUGCCAAGUGCCAGUUCCUGUUUUUCCUCUGUUUUUGGCUCUUUUCAGAUCUAAUUUUGGAACGGAGUCCAAAUGGAAUAAAAUCCCCGAAAUGAUUUUAUUCUGAACGUAAGAAGAUCAGGGGGCCUGUGGGCCAAGACAAGAGGGCUCCUGGGAGCGCACAAGCCCCCACUCCUUCACCAGGGGGGAGGCGGCGGUGGCAGGGCUUGUGGCCUCCCUGAGCGCCCCCUGACCUAGAUCUUUGGCCUAUAUAUUCCCUAAAAUACAACAAAAAAUCAGGGGAUCUCAUCUGGAGACCCUUCCCGGCACCCUGCCGGAGGGGACUUUGGAGUUGGAGGGCUUCUUCAUCAUCAUCAUCGCCCCUCCAAUGACUCAUGAGUAGUUCACAUCAGACCUACGGGUCCGCAGUUAGUAGCUAGAUGGCUUCUUCUCUCUCUUGGAUCUUCAAUACAAAGUUCUCCAUGAUCUUCAUGGAGAUCUAUCCGAUGUGAUCUUCUUUGGCGGUGUGUUUGUCGAGAUCCGAUGAAUUGUGGAUUUGUGAUCAGAUUAUCUAUGAUAUAUAUUUGAGUCUUUGCUGAUUUCUUAUAUGCAUGAUUUGAUAUCCUUGUAAGUCUCUCCGAGUCUUGGGUUUUGUUUGACCAACUAGAUCUAUGAUUAUUGCAAUGGGAGAAGUGCUUGGUUUUGGGUUCUACCAUGUGGUGACCUUUCCCAGUGACAGUAGGGGCAGGAAGGCACACAUUAAGUAGUUGCCAUCAAGGGUAACAAGAUGGGCUCUGUCGUUGAUAUGAGAUUGUCCAUCUACAUCAUGUCAUCUUGCUUAAGGCGUUACUCUGUUCUUUUGGACUUAAUACACUAGAUGCAUGCUGGAUAGCGGUCGACGUGUGGAGUAAUAGUAGUAGAUGCAGAAAGUAUCGGUCUACUCGUUUUGGACGUGAUGCCUAUAGAUAUAAUCAUUGCCAUAGAUAUCGUCACGACUUUGCGCGGUUCUAUCAAUUGCUCGACAGUAAUUUGUUCUCCCACCGUCUACUUGCUUUCAUGAGAGAAGCCACUAGUAAACACUACGGACCCGGGUCUAUUCACAUCUAUCGUUUACACCUCCGCUUUUACUUUGCUUUGUUACUUUGUUGCUUUCUGUUCUCACUUGGCAAACAAUCUAUAAGGGAUUGACAACCCCUUCAUUGCGUUGGGAGUAGGUUCUUUGUGUUUGUGCAGGAUCUUGUGAUACUCCUCCACUGGAUUGAUACCUUGGUUCUCAAACUGAGGGAAAUACUUAGCACCGCUGUGCUACAUCACCCUUUCCGCUUCGAGGGGACACCAACGCAAGGCUCCAUAGCCGUAGCAGAAGGAUUCCUUGUGCCGUCAACACGACUAUUCCUGUCAUCGUUGCUGGGGAAGCACAACUGACAUCACUGAUCACAACACUUCUAUCAGGAUGCUUAAAGAAGUUAUCUUUCCUAGAUUUGGAGUCCCUGGAUAUCUAAUGACCGACGGUGGUUCACAUUUCAUUCAUGGUGCUUUCCGUAAAACGCUUGCCAAGUACGAUGUCAACCAUAGAAUUGCGUCUCCCUAUCACCCUGAGUCCAGUGGUCAAGUAGAGCUAAGCAAUAGAGAGAUUAAACUAAUUCUGCAAAAGACUGUCAACAGGUCUAGAAAGAAUUGGUCUAAGAAGCUCGAUGAUGCACUGUGGGCUUAUAGAACUGCCUAUAAGAAUCCCAUGGGCAUGUCUCCGUACAAAAUGGUGUACGGUAAAGCAUGUCAUUUACCUGUUGAGCUAGAGCAUAAAGCUUAUUGGGCAAUCAAAGAGCUCAACUUUGAUUUCAAACUUGUUGGUGAGAAGAGGUUAUUUGACAUUAGCUCGCUUGAUGAAUGGAGAACUCAGGCAUAUGAGAAUGCCAAGUUGUUCAAAGAGAAGGUUAAGAGGUGGCAUGAUAAGAGGAUACAAAAGCGUGAGUUCAAUGUAGGUGAUUAUGUCUUGCUAUAUAACUCUCAUUUAAGAUUCUUUGCAGGCAAGCUUCUCUCUAAAUGGGAAGAUCCCUAUGUUGAUGAGGAAGUAUACCGUUUCGGUGCUAUCAAGAUCAACAACACGGAAGGUCAUUGUCCGAGAGUUGUAAAUGGGCAGAGAAUCAAGCAUUAUAUCUCAGGUACUCCCAUAAAGGUUGAAAGCAAUACCAUCAGUACCAUAAUCCGGAAGAAUACCUAAGGAACAUUUAUCAACCUGUUUCAGACUCCGAAAACGAAAAGGUAUGUGAUUCGGUAAGAAAACAGACUCCAAAACUUUUCUAAUAGGAAAUUUUCUCCGUUUUGGAAUAUUUGAAAAAAUACAAAAAUUGGAAGUAGUCCGGAAAGUGCGCGAGGAGGCGACAAGCCAGCCCGGCGCGGGCCCACCCCCUGGCCGCGCCUGGGGGGCUUGUGGCCAAUCUCGUGCGCCUCCCAGACUCCGUUUUCGUGCGGAGUACUCCUUCUGGUAUGGAAAAAUUCAAUAUAUAUUCUCCCGUUUGGUCUGACCCCUCUAUCACUCAGAUUUCCUCUGUUUUUCGUUUCGAGUCUGUUUUCUGCUGCAGAUUUAGAGCAAGAUGUCGUCCUAGGAAUCUGUGGGGGAGAACAAUCUCCCUCAAGUCUAUGGAGAAGUACAUGCUGAUCUGAAAAGGAUAGAGGUCAUGGAGGCUAAGGAGAGGUUACCUAAAGAAACCAAGGGCAAAGCUAAGGAGAAGAACCAGGCAUGGGAUGAAGUGCAAUUUGUGCUCAACAAGGAAGAAGUUGAAGAAGUGAAUUUCCUCCAACCCUACCUCCACGUACUGUCUCUAUCCUUGAUUGAACUCUUGAGGUUUUGUGAAACAACUCGCGCUCGCAAUACUUAUCUCACUCGUGAAGUUGUUUUGCUGGAAAAACAUAUCACAGAUUUCCAAGGUAUAAAUCUAAGAUUGAUGGCCCUCUUGGAAUCAAAGGUUGCAACAACUCCACCACCAUCACCACCAAAGGAAGACAACUAAACAUGGGCAUGGGCAAUCCCCUUGGAUGGUGCCAAGCUUGGGGGAGUUGCCCCGGUAUCGUAUCACCAUCACAUCUUUUGCCUUUACAUUUGCUUUAGUUUUCCUUUUCAGUUUUCUUUUUCUCUAGUAGUUUUAAAAAGUCUUAGUGUUUUAGUCUUGAGUUUUGCUUUGUGUCACCCCAGAUGUAUUCGAGCUCGUGAGCCAUAUAAUAAAGAGUGUCUUAGUUGAAGGGCUUUGCCUCUUUCCAUGAUCAAAAGAGUGAGAAAAGAACAAAAGCAUGAAAGAUCAUGUAAUGAUCUUAUGGGAAGUGAUGGCUUCAGAUAUAAAAGGGAUGAUGAUUGAAACUUGUUGAGGGUAGACAAACGUAGACCUUGGUCAUUGUUGCAAUUAAUAGGAAGUGAUAAAGAAGGAGAGGUUCACAUAUAAAUAUAUCAUCUGUGCCACCAUCUAUGAUUGUGAACACUCACUAAACUAUUACAUGCCUAGAAGUAGAUGUUGGACAAGGAAGACAACAUAAUGAAUUGUGUUUGCUUGGUUCCGAACAAUGUUAUAUGAUUAUAGAUCCCUUAGCAUGUGACGAUUGCUUCCACCUCAUAUUAGCCAAAACUCCUGCACCAAGUAGAGAUACUACUUGUGCAUCCAUAAACCUUCAACCCAGUCUUGCCAUGAGUGUCCACCAUACCUACCCAUGGAUUGAAUAAGAUCCCUCAAGUAAGUUGUCAUCGGUGCAAGCAAUAAAAAUUGCUCUCUAAUAUGUAUGAUCUAUUAGUGUGUGGAAAAUAAGUUUUAUACGAACCUGUGAUGAGGAAGACAUAAAAGCGACAGACUGCAUAAUAAAGUUCUUUAUCACAUGAGGCAAUAUAAAGUGACGUUCCUCCGCACUAAGAGGACACACAUCCAAACCUCAAAAGCGCAUGACAACCUCUGCUUCCCUCUGCGAAGGGCCUAUGUUGUACCUUUACUUUUUGCCCUUGAAAGAGUCAUGGUGAUCUUCACCAAUUCCCUAUUUCGCCUUUAUCUUGGCUACCGUCAUAUGCUUGGGAAAGAUCUAUAUUCAUAUGUCAACUUGGAGGUAAGUAUUCAUGAAUUAUUAUUGUUGACUUUACCCUUGAGGUAAGCAGUUGGGAGAUGAAACUAUAAGCCCCUAUCUUUCUCUGUGUCCAGCUGAAACUUUGAUCUCAUGAGUACCACGUGAGUUGUAGCAUUUGUAGAGAACAAAAAGAUAAUUGAGUAUGUGGAUUUGCUUUACCAGCUCUUAUUUGACUCUUUCUGAUGUUGUGAUAAAUUGCAGUUGCUUCCAUGACUAAAGGCUAUCGGUUGUUACUUCUCGGUAAGGUUCUUGAUCCAUGCUUUACUUUGUGAAGGGGUUGUCACUUUAGCAUGAGAGAUUAUAUGUUGGUAUUGUUGUUCUGAUCAUGAUCAUGAUGCAUGCAUGUUCGUAUCUUGUUUUGUCGACACCUCUAUCCCUAAACAUGUGGACAUAUUUAUUGAUCUUGGCUUUCGCUUGAGGACAAGCGAGGUCUAAGCUUGGGGGAGUUGAUACGUCCAUUUUGCAUCAUGUUUUCAUGUUGAUAUUUAUCGCUUUUUGGGCUGUUAUUUCACUUCACGGUACAAUACUUAUGUCUAUUCUCUCUUAUUUUGCAAAGUUUACAUGAAGAAGGAGAAUGUCGACAGCUGGAAUUCUGGCCUGAAAGUGGAGCAAGUUUGAGAUACCUACUCUGCGCAACUCCAAACGCAGUAAAAAUCAACGAGGAUUUUUUCCGGAUUUAUAAGAAAUACUGGGCCGAAGAAGCGCCAGCAGGUGGCCACAAGCCUGCUAGGCGCGGCCACCCCGUGGCCGCGCCUAGGGGGCUUGUGGGCAGCCUGCUGGCCCACUGGCCCCCCUCUUCUGCUAUAUGAAGGGUUUUGUCCGGAAAAAAAAUCAGGGAGGAGCUUUUUCGUGGAUUCGCCGCCGCCACGAGGCGGAACUUGAGCAGAACCAAUCUAGAGCUCCGGCAGGACGAUCCUACCGGGGAAACUUCCUCCCAGAGGGGGAAAUUGUCACCAUCAUCAUCACCAACACUCCUCUCAUCGGAGGGGACUCGUCACCAUCAACAUCUUCAUCAGCACCAUCUCAUCUCAAAACCAUAGUUCAUCUUUUGUAACCAAUCUCCGUAUCGCGACUCCGAUUGGUACUUGUAAGGUUGCUAGUAGUGUUGAUUACUCUUUGUAGUUGAUGCUAGUUGGAUUAUUUGGUGGAAGCGUUUAUGUUCAGAUCCUUGAUGCUACUCAUUACCUCUCUGGUAUUGAAUAUGAUUAUGCUUUGUGAGUAGUUACUUUUGUUCCUGGGGACAUGGGAUAAGUCAUGGUAAUAGUAGUCAUUUGAAUUUGGUAUUCGUUCGAUAUUUUGAUGUGUUGUAUGUUGUUUUUCCUCUAGUGGUGUUAUGUGAACGUCGACUACAUAACACUUCACCUUUAUUUGGGCCUAGAGGAAGGCAUUGGGAAGUAGUAAGUAGAUGAUGGGUUGCUAGAGUGACAGAAGCUUAAACCCUAGUUUAUGCGUUGCUUCGUAAGGGGCUGAUUUGGAUCCACUAGUUUAAUGCUAUGGUUAGACUUUGUCUUAAUUCUUUUUCGUAGUUGCGGAUGCUUGCGAGAGGGGUUAAUCAUAAGUGGGAUGCUUGUCCAAGUAAGGGCAGUACCCAAGCGCCGGUCCACCCACAUAUCAAAUUAUCAAAGUAACGAACUCGAAUCAGAUGAACAUGAUGAAAACUAGCAUGACAGAAAUUCCCGUGUGUCCCCGGGAGCGUUUUUCCUCCUAUAAGACUUUGUCCAGGCUUGUCCCUUGCUACAAAAGGGAUUGGGCCACUUUGCUGCACCGUUGCUGCUUUUGUUACUUGUUGCUUUCUACGAAUCAUCUCGCCACAUAAUCACUUGUUACCGAUAAUUUCAGUGCUUGCAAAUUUUACCUUGCUGAAAACCACUUGUCAGAUCCUUCUACUCUUCGUUGGGUUCGACACUCUUACUUAUCGAAAGGACUACGAUUGAUCCCCUAUACUUGUGGGUUAUCACCCACUCAUGUUCAAGCAUUGACAAGUUUCAUAAUAUUUGCUCAACAUUAGCCACUGUAUAUACUAAGGUGUUCAUGAUUUCCGUUGUUCGUCGAAAAACUAAUGAAACUAAUAACGCUAAGUACAAUAUUGAAUAAAGUAAGAAAUGUGUCAAAACUGAACAGUCUGUAAAGAUGACACUCAACGAGAUAGUUAGGUAGCUCAAAAUAAAAAAACUCCAAACUAAUGAAAAACACAUCAUAAUCUCAGGUUUAUGCACAAAAAAUUCAGAUCAAAAUACUAUCAUGAGAUUUAUCAUGAUUUUUUACACUGAAGCACAUGAAAUCUGUUUAAACAUAACAGUCAGUAAAGAUCGAAUUAUUAGACCUAUCUACGCACCUCAAAUCAGAAAAGUCAAAACUAAUGAAAGUAACGUAAUAAACAGUACUUUGUACUAAAAAAAUAUCAGAUCAAGAUCACGUUGUGAUGAUAUUUCAAAUUUUCUACGGUGGAGCACGGAAAUCUGUUUUUAGGCAGCAAAGUGGCAAACUUGCAUCAUAAACAAACUAGAAGUUAUCUAUACAUUUUAUUUUUAUGGUACAGAGAAAUAUGUACAAUAUAUACACAAUAUAUACAAGUGUUUAACUGAAAAGCUUCCAUGGAAAGAAUUGUUUUGGUUUCAUAGGCAUGAACACAAGUGUUCAAGGUCGAUCCCCACUUAACCAUUACUCAUCUUUCCAAUCACUUUCCUUUUUGAAAACGUUUUUAGAUAACAAGUACAACUAAUUUAUUUUUGUAAUCCGCAUUACCUAUCCAUAUAAAGAUAGACAAAAACUUAAAACUUAAAGUAAAACUACUUACAGACAAAGCAAAUAAGUGCACACAAGAACAUUCAUCCCACGCUAUUGCUCCCUGGCAAUGGCGCCAGAAAAGGUCUUGAUAUCCCACAAGUAUAGGGGAUCGUGUGUAACCUUUUCGAGAAGUAAGAGUGUCGACCCAACGAGGAGCUAAAGGUGGGAUAAAUAUUCUCUCAAGUUCUAUCAACCAUUGACACAACUCUACGCACACUAAACGUUUUGCAAUAUCUAGGAGAUAAAACUAGAGUGACAAUACGGGUAUGAGAGAAAGCUUUGCAAGAUAAUAAAUACAAGAAAGUAAAUAUUAGUGCUGCAGCAAUAAAAUAUACUAAAUAACCAUAAACUAACAGUACCAUGAGUGCGGAAAAGUGGUGGUAAUUGUGGUGGAAUUGUCCAUGAUCAAAUAGUCAGAUACAAGGUUGAUAUUCCUCUUUUAUGUGGGAGAGGCAAAGCUAACAAGCUCUCACUAUCCAGCGAUUGCAAGUACUUAUGAUUGAAACUCUAGCAAACAUCCGUAAAUACUAGAAGAUACAUUAAGGAAAAAAAUACCCAACCAUGGCAUUAAGAUCAAAAGGUCCUCUUUAUCCCAGAUGCGUUGAUCACUAGAUUGGGGCUCAUGUUUCUGUCACUCAAGCAACCCACCCUCUAGCUUUAUCCACAUACUACAAACCCUAUGAUGUGAUCCAUGCCCGUAUAAACAUAUGAUGGACACCGUAGGACUGUAACAAAUUCAAUAUAUAGCUCAAACCAUCCAUGGAGAUUCAGCAAUCAAUCAGAUGACAAAAGGAACUACACAAACAUUACAUAGAUGCAAUAGAUCAUUUGCAAAUAACUUAUAACAUCAAACACCAUGUUUAAAUAGGGGAUUACAGAGGUUUGUGGGAGAGUGGAACGUUGUAGCUAUGGAGGAGAUGAUGAUGGAGGUGUUGGUGAAGGCGGCAUCAUGGCAGAGAGGGUGUAGAAGGGGCAGCACGUGAGGUGCAGGGCAGCGCCGGUGGCCGGCGGCGGCCCAGGGGCUCCUUGUGCGCCGGCCGACCGUCAUGGGGGAGCGCCGCCCCUUACCCCCCUUCCUCCAUGGUUCUUGGUGCUGUAGAUGAGACCUCCUCCAUGGAGAUGAGUCCGUGGGGGAGGCAAAUUUCGUGCCUUUUGCUGGCUGACCAGAAAUGAGGGUUUUCCUCUCCUUAUAUGAGCUGGGACGAUCAUCCUUGGCCCUCCGAUGGAUGCCCCUUUGAUCCAAGUGCUCUUGGGCACCUCUAAAACCUUCCUAGGGACCCCUCUCAGCCCUAAUGAGGUCCCAAAGUCGUGGCUUGUCCGAAUCCAUCAAAUAUGGUAAGGGUUGGACUCUCACGUCACCGAUUCCCGUAAUCCGGUAAUCAGAUAUUUGUCCUCUAGUAAAACGGGUUUUACUGGAGCGCACGGACUCCAAAUGGACCGAAUUUUAUGCCUAAAAUUAUCAGCUUAAAAUUCCCCACACUUGUUUCAUGUGUGAUAUUUCCGUUUGAGGCCGUCUUCGACCCGUAACGUGGCAAUCUUUAAAAAGCGUUUCAGACAAAUUUCAGAAAAGUACCAAUUCGACUUCAACAAGGUUUCCUCUUCUAUUUUUGAUAGUUCCUACACAUAAAAGUGUAAAAUAAGAACAUUGUACACUUUUGCAACUAUUAAUAGGUUAGUCCAAAUAAAUCAUAAACUUAAUAUAAAAACAAUUAUCAAAAGCAUAAAAGUAGCAUGAAACCAUAAAAAAUUAUAGAUACGUUUUGAACGUAUUGCGCACGCAUAACGAGUCAAUUAUACACUUAAUAACAUCGAGUAAGCAAAAAUAGAGUGUGUGUAGUAACACUCACUUCAAGUUGUAAGGAAAUAGUAUUGCCUUUUUGGUAGCGGAAAACCUUAAUCCUUGUACCAAGUUAUUAUCUGUCUCGCGGAAUCGGGUGCGAGACUUUUGUCAUGAAUGAAAUAUGGGUCAAUGAACCCAAUGUCAUAGAUUCGUCCUCUUUUGUAUUCGAGAAUUUUCAUUCUGCAAAAUUAAUAUAGUGAUGAGUAAGAUUAUACAUGCAAUGAACAAGCUGAGUAAGACUUAUUGACAUAAAUUAAUAAUACUUACAAACAAUAGGCAUUGAUGAUAGAAUUGUCGAGGGCGUCUUGUUUGUAUAAUUGAAAUAAUUCGUCGAAUUCAAUCAUUAGCACGCCUUCUCCAUGCCCAUAAUGCUCGUUUUAUAUGCACAGUAGAUCCAGCUUUGCUAUUCAACAGAUGUUCGCAUGUACCAGUCAUGCAAUCUUCGCAUUUUUGUUGGUAGCUCGUUGACUAACUCAGGUUUGACAAGAGGAGACCCGUGCCGGUAUACGUAUCUUACGUCAGCGAAAUCCUGUAUAUGGUUUAAGUACCGAUCGAUAGACAUGCCAUGAGCCUUGGCCGCUUUUCCGUAUAGUGUAACAAAGUCCGGAUCGAUAUCAGCUGUUUCAUCAUACCUCUGCUCGACCGGAGCUCUGCUCGAGCACACCUUUGUAUCGGAAUACACUUUGAGCGGGGGUCACGAUUGGUUUUUCUGUUGUCCGAGCUGGGCAACUGAUUUCCCGUUGGAUGUACUACUCUUCAACCGCUGCUUUUUUGCCUCAGACGACUUGAGAAUAGAGUGUUCAUAGUCUGCUGUCAACGAUGGCGGGGGAUCUGCAAGGGUAUUCAGUAUUUUCACGCACGAGGCGUGAUAUUUUGGGCUGUCCGGGAACUCUGGCUCUUUCGGCUUCUUCUUGUUAGCCAUGUCAGCCAUCCACUAUUGAUACUGGGUGUUUGCCCUCUUCUUAUUUUCCUAUCAACUAUAGUCCCAAGGUCUCAUCUCCAUAUCCUUAUGAGGUACUUUUGGGAGGGGCGACAACUUACGUUUCGUUGAUCGGAAUCCCUUUCUGCCCCCACUAUUAGCGGUGGUACAUUUCCGCUUUUUUGCUUUGAUCCUCAGUGGACGAAGACGGCUGACGGGGCAGUGGAGACGACUGAUGCGGCUGUGGAGACGGCUGCGCUGGAGACUGGUGAGGCGGCGAAGACGACGGUUGCGCUGGAGACUGGUGAGGCGGCGAAGACGACGAUUGCGCUGGAGACUCGUGAGGUGGAGGCGAAGAAGGAUUGUUGCUCUGAGGAGUCGGUGGCCUUGGUGGCCAGUUUGGAAGCAAGAUGUGCUCCUUUGGCCAUACAACGGUGUGUUUCUUGACUUCUCCAAGUUUAGUCAAAUCCCUAUCUUCACCUGCAGGGUAGUCCAGCUUCAGCUCCUCAUAAUCUUUCACCACUUCAUCCACCGCGACGACUGCGUACCCUUUUGGAACCGGAGAAAAAUGCCAAGUUGGAUUAUGUCCAAUUGGUAUGACCAUGCCGACCGCCACCGUCAAUCUUAAGUUAGCAACUUUCACCUUUAGCUCACAAGGUGUGCUUUCUGUGAUAUCAUCCACUAGGUAGCGACGAGGAGGAGCCGUCGUGAGUGCAUCAUCAUCACCAUCAUCCUGGAGCUACAUCGAAGCGACACUGCUUUUCCGAUUUGAUGUAGCUUCUAUGAUGAGCCGCUGAGAUUGGCCGCUACCUUGCUGGCUAAGUGUGUUGAUUUGAUCUUGUUGCAGCCGCUUUACUGCUUCUUCUACAUUAUGUAGCCGGUCUGCAACAGCCGCUUCCUCAGCUGUCUUAUUUUCCUUUCUCCUCUGAUGGCUUCUAUCGGGAAAUAUCUUCCUUUCCUUGGAAAACGCAAGCAUCCACGGCGGGAAGCCUGGUAAGCCUCGUGCUCGUCCUAUGUGUCCAUCAUUCCCAAGGGCGUGUGAGAGCUUGUCGUUCUCUCUAUCGGAAAUGAACCGUCCCUCUUCAACAUCCUUUACUGCACUUCUAAUGUUCUCGAUGGGUAGUAGGGGAUUAUCUUUGUGUCUUUGGUUAUAUAUUGCCUUCCCUUCUGCGUCCAACAUGCCCCCAUGUCCGUAAAAUCAGUUUCUUGACCGUUCGAUCCAUGUUAAAGGCUCUCGAGUGAUAUUGUUAGCCAGAGAUGGUGCCUCAAGUGCGUCCCACUUAGACAUGUUACCGGUGUAGCCAGUAGGCCCCAUAAUAUGGUGGUACUUCUUCAUACAUGCAUUCCUCUUAUUUGUUACAGACUUUUUCAAGGUGUCCUCCAAUUUCUUGUACGCCACAAAUUCGGCCGAGUAGUCUUUUAUCUUCUCAUAGCUGCUAUCGAAAUCUGGAGACUUAUCUUGCAAGAUAAAAUCCUGGUGCAAUCUUUUCUUCCAGCCCCUGAAUAGAUCGUCUAUCUUCUUAAGAGCCCCUUGACUUUUUUUCUCUAAGGCCUCUUUUCGCCUCUUCAUUUCCUCCUCAUUUGGCUCCUCCUCAUCUGGAUCCACCUCUGGCGCCGGUAGGGUGAAAUGAAGCAUGAGCUUUCUGCAAAGGUUUUCUUUGGCUACUGUGCCGACAUAUGAGACUCCUUCCUCC